UUGAGAAAAAGACCAAAAUAGCAUUAAAUCAAGUUUUUGUUCCCAAACUAGCACUUAAGGCCAAAAGUCACAAAAAUAACACUCAAGAGGUGGGGUUUAGGGUUUAGAGUUUAGGGUUUAGGGUUUAGAGUUUAGGUUUUAGGGUUUAGAGUUGAGAAGUGAGGUUUUGGAAAUAAGAUUUCAAAUUUUGAAAAAUUAAAAAAUUUAAAUUUUUCAAAAGAUAAAAUGCUAUUUUGGUCAUUUUAGUUUUUGAGUGCUAUUUUUGUGAUAUAAACUUAAGAAGGUGCUAUUUUAGAGAUUUGCCCUUUUUUUACUAUCAUCUACCACUAUAUCACUGAAUUAAAUUUCUUUAACUGUUAGAAUGUACGAAUUUACCGACCAUCUACACUAUUAAAACAGAAUCCUUCUUAAAAUUAUACCCUUAACUUUUUCAAUUAAUUACAAAAAAUUCUAUUACUUUUUUCAGUUGUUUUAAAUGGUUUUCGGAAAUUAAAAGCCCAACAAUUAGAAAAGUAACAUGUUUAUGUCCAAUUAAAUAAAACAGUCCAAUAAUUUAAACAAUAUAUCCAUCGUUUUUUAAGCAUAUUUUGCGUAUGUUUACUAACCUAUCCAUAUUCGUUUGUGUUCUAACCUUAUAUCCAAAAGUUCUAUACAAACCCUAUUAACACCAUUAAAAACCCGUUGUCCAAAAAACUAUACCAAAUAUAUUGGAAUUCAUUAUAAUGCCUAUGUCUUAUUUAAAAUUUUCUUAUAUGAAAUUGCUGAAAUAUAUUAAAUAUUAUCUUUCAAUAAUAUUAAUUAUACUAUUAUAGUAUAGGGUUAGCAUAUUUCGAAAUCAUUAUUUUCAAUGCUAUUGACCCUUUAAACAGCCAAUAAUAUUUAAAUAUUUAUAUUUACCAAAUUUGUUAUAUAAAUAUAAAUAUAAAAUAUAAUAAAUAGAAACUCAUAAAUGUUCGGAUUCAAAUCAAAUAAAUUCCAAGAAUAUUAUCUAUAACAUCCAUUUUUGUAAUUGCUACAUACAAUAAAUUCAAAAGAUAAUAUAUAGAAACAAGAUUUUCCGAUGUAACUAAAUUAACUUGAUGAAGACGCAGAGAAUAUAUUAUGUUUGACAUGGCAACUGAAUUUCCCGAAUACUAAUCUUAAAAGAUAGAGAUAUUCGAUAAUAAAAAGAGGAUCCUCCAACUUAUUUGCUAUUCUAUAUUAUUUAUACCUUAAAUAAAUAGAUAUGUAAAUAAAAUAAUUUUCUAAAUAUUUCUCCCAUUGUAUUAUAUUGGUGUUUCACAGUAUGAGGAUUUUUUUUAUUUUACCUAAAUUAUUUGAAAUUAUUUAAAACAGAAAUGUAACCAGAACCAAAAAAUUCGAAAAUUUUAUAUAUCCAUACCACACAAAAUAUCAAAAUAUUCAAUCACUUUAACCAAAACUCAACUUCAUAUAUUUCUAAACCAAAAAUCACAACCAAACUGAAAUCGAAAACCAAUAAAAAAAAUUAGAAUCAAAACGAAAACCGAAAAUGUUUCUGGCGAAACAAAGUAGUUAACAAACAGCUAUAUCAAUAUAUUUGUCAACAAAUAUACUCCCGCGCUUUGAAAAAUCUAGUAUAACAUAUAAGCAAUGGUGGAUCUACAAAUAUAAUAUUUAUCGGUGGCAAACUUAUAAACACAGUUUAAUAACUUUAUACAAAAUUAUACUAAUUAAAAAGUAUUUGGUGCACCCCUUCUACACUGAACAUAGUUUCACCAAAUAGGCCCGGUUUAAAAAAUUAACUCGCCCUAUGCAUAUUUUUUUUUCUCUUUCUAACAAUGGUAAGCGAAUUUUAAAAUUGGACUCUCAGGGGGGUGUAUUGAAUCAUGGAUUUUAAAGUGUUUUGGUUUUGUUUUAAAAUCCCCUGUUAUUCAACUAAUGAUUUCUAUUUUUUUUUCCAAAUCAUGUGUUAUUGAAUAUGACAUUUAUCUAAAGUCACUAAAAGUUACAUGUCAUAUACUGUUAUUCAAUUAACAAUUUACAAAAACAAAAUCAAAUCUACUGUUAUUCAAAAAUAAACAAUUUUGAAAGAAAAACCUAUGAAAAGGAUUUGAAGCAAACUUUUUAUUAUUAUUUUCAGUCAUAACUAGUUUAACUCAAAUCCCACCUCUGUACCUGUUAUUUGGAAAGACCCAAAUUCAAUAUUAAAAAUUGGCCAAAGGAAAAAACGAUCCAUAUCCUUGACCACAACAAUGACGAUGAAGCUCACACCUCUGUACCUGUUACUCCGCCACCGUCUCUCCAAAAUCAGUGGUGGCCAGGAUUCAGCGUGAUUUGGACUAGUAUAAGAUUCAAUGCUGCCUAAUUCUGUCUACAAUGGAGCUAGUGUAAGAUUCAAUGUUUCUCAGUAUUUAUACACAUAGUCCGAUUAAUGUUUAUGUAGCAGCUUUGUUAUUGUGCCAUAUCUACGGGCUACCACUCGUUGUAUUACGAGGAAGAUACACUGCUUCUGAUCUUGUUAACAUACAAGAGGUUUAAGAUCACUAUUUUUAUGUCUUUACUAUUUUUACGGCAUUGACAAAGAAGACUAAAAAAGUUUGUUGUGGGGAAGUGUUGAUGGCAGGUCUCUGUUUUGUAUUGUUGGAAUCACAGUUUCUAUGUUUCUUUUUGUUGCAGGAUAUAGAAAUUAGAUUACUCGAACUCAAUGUGUUUAUCUCACCAAAUAAGAAACUCUUUCUUAUUAAUCACUCUUAAGGAAAACUAUCUCAAAAACCUUAAGCUCUCAAAACUCAUAAGUUAUGCUACAUCUUAGCAUCUCCUUAUAUAUCAACUUAUAAAUCCUAAACUCAUUAGGUAUAACACUUUAUUAGAUAUUUCCUAAUCCCUUUAGAUAAACACAAACUUAAUGGGAUUAGGUAGCUUAAUCCUCAAGCUAUCUUUAAGCUUAUUCCAACACAGGAUAUCUAACAAACUUAUUUACAUGAGUUAAACCUAUUUGCGUAAAUCCUUGCCUCUUAAGAGAGAAAAAGCUACAAGAAAUUAGAGGUUUGGUUCACCCAACUUUGUCAAGUGCAGUUGAAACACUUUGCUUCAACUCUCAAAACUCAAAAGCUUGAGGAAGUAUUCUUCUAUGAGACUACUUGCUCCAAAUAUGCAAGCUAAGGUAGUAGAUUAGAGCUUUCAUUUUGUCCUUCCACCAUAAAAGCGAGGAAGUCUCUGAAUGUAACAUGUAAGGUACACAGGCUAGCAAUGCUGAUUUUUAUUUUUGUUUUGGAUAAAUAUAUAUCUUGUUGAUAUCUUUAGGGGCUGCUCCUUAGAAAUAUAUGACGGACUUCUUUUACGUUUAGUUGUUUAAUUAGAGUUAGAAGCUAUGAAUAUAUAUCAAAAUAAUAUGAUCGUUUGCAGAGAUUCUUGGUCACUAAGUUAUUAAUAUUAAGUAUUGCUAAAUUGCUAUUUACCAUUUAUUUACCAUAUUUCUUCAUCACAUUAAGUUACAUACAUUAAUAAGCUAUAGUUAAGAGAAAAUUAUCAUUUAUUAUAUCACGCUCGCUAAUAACUUGGAUAAACCCUAUAAUUUGAACAAGAAUGCAACACACCUUCUCCUAAAAAUAGGGAGACAGAAUAGGUAGAGGGCCGGUCCUAGGCUAAAGCCCAUAAAGCAAGGGGUUUAGGGACCAAAAUUUAUAUAUUUUCUUGGGACGCCAAAUGUUGACAAUUUAAUCAUUUUAGCUUAGUGGUUCGCGUACUUGUUCUGUAUUGUUUCAGGUAGCGAGUUCGGUUCUGGUUCUUUUUUACUACUUCUUUUGUUUUUGGAAAAUAAUAGCAAUAAAUUUACCCAAUUUAAAGAUAUGACGAUUUACUUACCAUUUCUAAUAAAUUUGGUCUCUUUUAUCCUAAAUUUUAUAUUAAAUGACAUUAAAUAAACAAUUUAAUAAAGCAAACGGUAGUUUUUGUUUGGAUAGCAAACUUUAGUUAUUUAUUUUAAGUAGACGUUUUUCUUUUUUUUGAAAGAAUGUAAAAUUUUAUUCAGUCAAAACUUUGUACAUCUAGUGCAUCUGAUUUGUACAGAGAUAAUCUAUACUCUAAAAAAAAUUUCCUCAUGGUGAUUACUCCCUAGUAGCAAACCAAGUGGUCAAACUCUCUUCCAAGUAUUUGUGUCCCAGCCCUUUCACCGAUAGCAACUUAAGCCUGAUGGUUUUAUCUACAAACUUGAUGAGGGUAGUAGCAGGCUGUGGCUGCUCUCCAUUCCUGCGAGCGUUCCUUUCUCUCCACAACGCAUGAACUGUCGCUUGGAAAGCGCAGCGAAUAAGAAACUGCUCUGUGGGUGGCAUCCUUGCGCUCGAGAUGAUCUCUACUAGGUCAUUCCAUGAUGUAGUAAAUGCUCUCUGAAGAAUCCCUCCUACUAAGGCCUUCCAAAUCUGCUUUGAGUAGUCGCAACUAAAGAAGAGAUGGUGGCAAGUUUCAUUUGUUACCUCGCAGAGUACGCAAGUUGCAUCAACUGCCCCAUUCCAUUGUUGUAUCCUGUCAUAGGUCUGCAGACGUUGGCGGAGUGCAACCCAAACAAGAAAGGAGUAUUUUGGUGUGGAUUGCGUGAACCAAAUACCCUUACUCCAUUCGCAGAUUUGUUGUGUAGAUCGUAUCUGUAGCCAGGUUUUCUUUGAUGAAAAAACACUAGCAUACUUCCCUUCUUUCUGUUUCCAAAGAGGUGUGUCUUCUUCUUCACUGGAAUCAGCUUGAAGAAGUGCAAUCUCAUUUUCUAUCUCGUUUAGGAGGCUCAGCCUGUGUCUUCUUCUCCGAUGAUUACCAAGAACAUCAGCCAUCACCGCAUUUUCAGAGAUGCCCAUAGCAAUGUAUCCUCGUUCUCCCAACACGUCCUUUAGACAUCCAAGUGGUGACCACACAUCAAACCAGAAUGAUGUUACUUUCCCAUUUCGGACUUCUCUUUUGAAGAACUGCUUUGCAAGCUCACGGAGUUUCAGUAGCUUUCGCCAAACCCAUGAUCCAGAUGUAGCAGUUUCUUUUACCGACCACAGUGAUCCCUUCCUGAUCAGAUAACAAUGCACCCAUCGAAUCCAAAGCGAGUUACGCGCAGAGUGAAUCCUCCAGAUUAUUUUCAAACCAUGAACCACGUUUACUUCUUUUAGUGGCCUGAGCCCCAACCCCCCUUCCUGUUUCGGUAAGCAGACAUCUUUCCAGCUUACUUUGGCUUUGCUUGUUUUCAGUUCAGGUCCUGACCACAAGAAAGCUGAGCAAAGCCGCUCAAUUUCUUUCAGACAGCUGCUAGGGAGUCUAAACGCUUGCAUCCAGAAGUUUGUGAGGCUUGCGAUAACAGAUUUGAUAAGUUGUAAACGACCACCGUGUGAUAAGAACCUGCCCGUCCAUGCUUCAUUCUUUUGCGGAUUUUCUCGACCAAUGGUAGGUAAUCUUGAACUGUCAUACGUUUAGUCAAGAGGGGGAGCCCCAGAUAGCGGACAGGCAACUGUCCCGAGGCCAGAGGGAAGGUGCUUAGGAUGUCUUCUUCUUCAUUUUGAGUGGUACCCGCUGUGUAGAGUGUAGACUUCUCAAGGCUGAUCUUCAGACCUGAUAUCGCUGCAAAAUCAUCAAGUACUCGAAGUAUACCUUCAAUAGAGCGUUUUGUGCCGUCCGUAAACACCAUGAGAUCGUCUGCAAAGCUCAAAUGUGUUAGAAGGAUGUUCUUACACCGAGGAUGAUAGCCGACCAAGCCCCUUUCAGCCGCUUUAUCAAUCAUGUGAGAGAGAACAUUCAUGCAGAUGACAGUGAGGUAGGGGGACAGAGCACACCCUUGCCUUAAACCUCUCUUGCUCUGAAAAAUCCGGCUAACUCCCCGUUGAUCUGCACGGAGAAGGAGGCCGUGCAGACACAAAGCUCAAUCCAAUGAAUAAAUUCCUCUGGUAUGUUUAGUGCUCUCAAUGUGUUCAAGAGGAAAUUCCAAUGAACUGUGUCGAAAGCUUUAGCAAUAUCGAUCUUCAGAGCACAUCUCGGCGUGAUGUCUUCCUUGUGAUAGUCUUUCACAAUUUCAGUUGCCAGUAGAAGGUUCUCCACCAGUAGCCUAUCCUUCACGAAUGCUGAUUGGUUUGGAGAGAUGCAUCGAGGAAGAGUGCCUUUUAGCCUGUUAGCUAUGAUCUUUGAGAUCACCUUGUACAAGACAUUGCAGCAAGAGAUCGGUCUAUAAUCCUUCAUCUCAGUCACAGAUUCCUUCUUGGGUAUGAGAGCUAGAAUUGUUGAGUUCAGGCCCUUUGGAAGAAACCCUUUACUGAAGAAGGAUUGUACUGCGAUGGUGAAGUCCUUUGCAAUUACACUCCAAGAGGCUUUGAAGAACUCAACUGAGUAUCCGUCGGGGCCUGGAGAUUUAUUGCUCUGCAUAUGAAAGAGAACUUCUCGGAUCUCCUCCUCAGUUACCGGCCUGAUAAGCGAGGACCUCUCUUCAUUACUGCACCGGAAGGGAACAAUUUCUUGCAAUUCUGAAACUGUCUUGUUUUGGAUAUCAGUCGGUUCAGAACUGAGAAACUCUUUGAAAAAUCUCUCGGCCUCUGUUUUAAUGUCAUCUUGCGAUGUCACCACUCUUCCAGAAGGACAUUUGAUUUCUCUGAUGCCAUUCCGGACUUCUCUGGCCUUGGCAGCAUUAUGGAAAGCCUUUUUGUUAUUGUCGCCCACUUGAAGCCAGUGAAGUUUCGAUCGCUGCUUCAGAACCUUUUCCUCAAUGGCUGAUACUCUCUGCCAUCUUUCAUUUGCCACCAUCUCUGCAUGAACAUUGUCUGAUGUUGGGUCUCGAAACAAUUUCUCCUGUUUUUCACAUAGGUCCAGGUAGGCUUCCUUAACCUUUCUCGUUAGUUCUCCCAAUUUGGCUUUACUCAGGUUUCGAAUCAGGGGCUUUAGAGCUUUAAGAGACUUUGAAAAUCUAUAAAGCGCUGAGGUAGAAUCAAACAGCGGUUGAGUAUCUCUCCAGAAGUCCUGAACCACUGCAAGGAGUUCUGGCAUAUCAGCAAGGGCGUUUGAGAACUUGAACGGUUUCCUUUUGCAGGACAAGAGAGUUGAGGCACACUUGAUUCAUAUGGUUUCAUGAUUCAUAAGAGGAUGUGUUUGCAUGUGCAGCACAAUAAUCUCAAACCACAUAGAUUUAUUGUUCAAUAUUGUUUACUCUCUGUUUCUCCACAUGUUAAGCUGCCAAGUGAUUUUUAAUCUCCACAUUUUAGUGUCUUUUCAUGUCAUGUACGAAUUCAUCUCUUAGGAUUUGCUUCUCAAUCCAAGUAUCAUGUUAUGUGUCUUUUGUAUUCCAGUCUCAGGGUUAAGCUAUUCCAAAGUUAUGAUACUCUUCUCUACUAUUGCUAACCAUAGUUUAAGAUAGUUUGCAAGUUAUUGUAAAUUUGUUAAUUACUUAACAGAUAACCCUCUACGUAAAAUACAUACUUUUCACAAAGAAAAACAAAAAGAUGAAAAUUUAUUAUAAUAUUAUUUAAUUUUUUUAUCAAACUCAAGACAACUAAAAUAUAUAUGAAUUUAAGCUGACAUAACUUUCCCAUUUUAAUCACUAAACUCAAGUUUUGAAAAAUGAAUAAAAGGUAACAAAAUUUCAAUAAAUGACUGAUAUAUAAUCAAAAUAAAAAUUAAAAAAUAGUUUUAGAGACAAAAAAAUAAAAUAAUAAAAUUAUCGAAAAUACAUAAUAAAUCCAAAACAUACAUAAUAUGACACUGAAUACAUAAAUUUUAAGAAAAGAUUAGAGAAAUUCAUAACAACAAAGAAUAGAUGAAUUAAUUUACCAUAAUGUUUUUUUUUGUGUUGCAUCAAACCAAAGUGAACAAAAAUUAAAAUUAAAAUUAAAAUAGUUUAACUCAUCGAUUUUUCUUUUUCUUAGGUAUAAAAUAAGGCAAAGAAAAACUAAUAAGAAAUUAUUGAAAACCAUCACCAAAAAUAAUACAUAACUAAAACAAAACUUUCCAGAAAGUCAGAAACAAGCAAUAAAAAUAUAAAAAUAUAUUUCCGUGAAUAGUGAAAAACUCUAGAAAUAGAAAAAUAUAAUAGUGUAAAGUGCUAAUCUAAAGUUAUUUUUUCCAUUUAACUAUCUAAAACAUACCACCAUUUAUUUAUUCAAAAAUAUAAAUAUAUAACUUAAGUUAUGUUUUCCUUAAUCAAAUAAACAUGAUGCUAAUGCAUGACAAUAAAUAAAAAGAGUUUAUAUAAGAAUAAUUGAUUGAUAAAUUGUUUUAAAAAAAAUCCAUAUUAAACAUUUGUGAAAUGUAAAACUUAAAUAAUUAAUUAAUUUUCGUCCAAAGAGUGGACAUAUCCCUAGAUACAAUAAUAACAUUCAUCAUGUUUGAUCAUCCUAAACAAAUUCAGUGUAAAAUUCACAUAAUGUUUGUAUAUUUCAUUUGAAACGUUUUAGUUUAGUAUAAUUUCAGUAAUAAAAUUUAAAAUGUAGUAAAUGUUAUGUGUUAUCCAAAUGAUACUUAAUAGUAUAUUUAUGUUCUCUAAAUUAAAUAUAUAUUCACUACUCAAACCACAACGAGCUCAUCAUCAACAUGGAUGGCAAAAUGUUGGCUGCUAAUUUCAUGAAGAAUUAAAACACAAAAUACUAAUUUCCAUAAUAAACAAUUGUACAAUAUAAACAAAAUAUUUAUAAAAAUAAUAGGCAAUUGUUCUCUGCGUAGCGCGGACACACUACUAGUAAGUUAAUAAAUUAUCAAAAGGACAAAUUUUGGAGUGGACAACGACUAGUUUAAGCGGCGGAAACGGUGUGGCUAGGGUUCGCCGGAAAUCUUCCCGAAAAUCGCAUGAGAGAGAACGGCGGGGAUUAGGGUUUUUUCUUCAAAUUUGAAAUCUUAUCCCCAAAACCUCAAUUCUCAACUCUAAACCCUAAAACCUAAACUCUAAAUCCUAAACCCUAAAUUCUAAAUCCUAAACCCCACCCCUUGAGUGCUAUUUUUGUGACUUUUGACUUUGAGUGCUAGUUUGGGAAUAGAAACUUGAUUUAAUGCUAUUUUGGUCUUUUUCUAAAAUCAAAAUCGCAAAACUAUUAAUUUAGGAAGGGGAUCAUAUUUUAAAUAUUUAGAGUAGCAGAUCUACAAGAGUUUUCCAAAGCAACCCCUCGAAACAAAUUUGUUCGAUGUAGUGGACCUUUUCUUUAAUUUAUUUUUGUGGACACCCAACCCUAAUUCGUUUCUUCCCCACAACUCUCAUCUUCUCGCGGCCCCAACCCUAGUCUUUCCAAUCCCUCAGCUCUUCGAUUUUUUGGUAAGCUAAUCUCUCCCAUCUUCGCGUUUAGCCAAAUACCCCCCCCAAUACUUUUUUUUGAUUUACCGAUUCAAAAAGUCGCAGACGACAUAGUUUUGCGAAUUGAGGGAUUGUCUUUGUGUUUUAUGAAUUGCUGUUAGAGUUUUGAGGAUCUGAAUCUUACAAUUGUUCUAUUGCCCUUUUGUAUUUUGUUUUCAAUUCAAAGACAAAAAAUUGCUUCUCUCUUUAUCCCUUUAGUGAAUGAGCAACACUGUAAUAAAAAAAAUGAAUUUGUUAAUGAUCAUCAUCUUAAAACGCUGUAUUUAUUAACAUUAACUUUUGCUGUAAUUUUACUAAAAAAUGAAUCAAGACAACACAAUUUGCUUGUUGUGUGUGUAUUCUUAUGUAAUUUUUUUCUGUUGUUUCGUCAGGAUUUUAUUUUUUGUGGGUAUGGGAAAAGGUAAGCUUAUACUGAUCUGCCAAUCUGGCGGCAAGUUUGUGACGGACGAUGAUGGGACAAUGACUUAUACUGGAGGAGAGGCAGAAGCUAUAGAUAUUAAUCAUGAAACUUCUUUUCAUGACUUUAAGCUCAAACUGGCCAAACUAUGGAACUUGGACUUUGAUUCUUUGUCCCUCAAGUAUUUUCUCCCCGGAAACCGAACAACCCUUAUCACCAUGAGACAAGAGAAAGACAUGAAGAGGAUGUAUGAUUUUCAUCUGAGCUCCGUCAGCGCUGAAGUUUUUGUAACAGGACAAGAAGGCUUCCACUCUCAAGCACCUGCUAACUGGUAUGUUCUUAUAUGACCCAUGUUCUGUUUCAAUGGUUGCAUAAUCCAUUUGAUGAAUUUAUUUGCAGGUCUGAUAAUAUAGCAGUGAGAGCAGACACUACACUUAUAGCAUAUGGGAAUGUAGCUAAUGUACCCAUUGAAGUUGCCACAGAAGACAACAGCCUCGUUGAUGUUAGUUUGAUAUCUAGAAAGGUCGUCGCCCCCAGGUUUACUUCUGAAUCCAGUGGUCUUGUUGAGAUUCCUGUAACCGUAUCGACUGGUCCAGUGGUACCAGCCAAAUCAACUUCGAAGAAACCCAAGCGGAAAGGGAAGACGACCAGUCUUGCUUCCAGUAACUAUAAACUGACUCCCAGAAGUUCCAAACAAACAGUGAUGGGUUCAAAAAGCUCCUCUCCGAUGUCCCCUGCGAGUGUUAGUAAACGAAGACGUGUGAUGGAAGAACCCAGCAUGUUGCUCCAGGAUGAAAACGCCGGCGAGACAAGGAGAAGAUCCUUAAGAAACAGGGGAGAAAUUCGAAAGCCUGUAAUAGAAACUGAUGAGGAUGAAUAUCUCUUAAGUGACGAAGAUGAUGCUCACGAUAAUCUUGAUGUAGAUGAUGACAAGGACUACGUGCAGGAUAUUGAUGCCUAUUACCCUGAAACCGAGGAUGUUGACUCUGAACCCCAGAUGAUGAAUUAUUCCAUCUCCGGUGUUAAGGAUGGUUCUGUAGAGAGCUUGGUAGCCUCAUGGAAACUUUGCAUUACCGGCGUGGGUCAGGGAUUCGAGAGUGUCGUUGAGUUUCGUGACGCGUUGCAGAAGUACGCCGUUGCUUGUCGUUUUGGGUACAGGUUAAGGAAGAAUGAAUCGAACCGAGCGUGUGGGGUUUGUUUGGUUGGAGGCUGUCCUUGGAAGAUUUAUGCAUCUUGGGUACCAUCAGAAAGCAUGUUUAGGAUAAAGAAGUUUAACAGAAGGCAUACAUGUGGGGGAGAAUCUUGGAAGUCUGCUCAUCCAAAAAAGAACUGGGUGGUGAGUAUCAUCAAGGAGAGGCUGCAGGAGAAUCCAAAUCAGAAGACUAAGAACAUCGCCGACUCCAUCUUUCAAGAUUUUGGUAUUGAGCUGAGUUAUUGCACCAUUAGACGAGGCAUUGAUGAAGCCAAAGGAGGGCUUCACACAUCAUUCAAAGACGCGUAUAAGCAUUUGCCUCUUUUUGUGAAUAAGGUUGUUGAGACAAACCCUGGAAGUAUAGUUGAUCUUGUGGUUGGUGAGGACAAGAGAUUUCAGCGGCUUUUUCUGUCUUUCCGGUCUUGUAUAAAUGGGUUUCUAACUGGUUGCAGGCCGCUUCUUUUCCUUGAUGCCAUUCCCUUUAAGUCGAGGUAUCAUGAGAUUUUGUUAACAGCUACUGCCUUGGAUGGAGAUGAUGGUGUGCUUCCAGUGGCAUUAGCCCUUGUUGAUGUGGAAACUGACGAAACUUGGCGUUGGUUUCUUGAGCAAGUAAAGGUAGCUGUGCCAAGUUUACGUCCCCUUACAUUUGUCUCUGACCGUGAGAAAGGGCUAGUGAGUUCUGUGCUGGAGAUUUUCGAGAACGCACAUCAUGGUUAUUCCAUUCAUUACUUGAUGGAGGACUUUAUGAGAAGCCUGAGAGGUCCGUUUCUUGGAGACGGGAAGCCAUCCUUAUCGUACUAUCUACUGGCUGCAGCACGUGCUGAUCGACUUGAUGGGUUUAAGGUAUACACUGAGCAGAUAAAACGAGUGUCUCCGAAAGCUUAUGAUUGGGUAAUGGAGAUUGAAGGAAAGCACUGGGCCAAUGCGUUGUUUGAAGGUGAACCAUACAGCCACAUAACCUCAGAUGUGGGAGAGAUCUACUCGAAAUGGAUUGAAGAAAUUCAGGAGACCUCAAUCGUCCUGAAGCUUGUGGUGUUUGUGAGUAGAAUCGUGGAGUUGGUAAACAGUAGCCAGGAGAAGUCAAGAGAGUGGUUCAGCCACCUUGUGCCAUCUGUUCAAAAAGCUCCUCUCCGAUGUCCCCUGCGAGUGUUAGUAAACGAAGACGUGUGAUGGAAGAACCCAGCAUGUUGCUCCAGGAUGAAAACGCCGGCGAGACAAGGAGAAGAUCCUUGAGAAACAGGGGAGAAAUUCGAAAGCCUGUAAUAGAAACUGAUGAGGAUGAAUAUCUCUUAAGUGACGAAGAUGAUGCUCACGAUAAUCUUGAUGUAGAUGAUGACAAGGACUACGUCCAGGAUAUUGAUGCCUAUUACCCUGAAACCGAGGAUGUUGACUCUGAACCCCAGAUGAUGAAUUAUUCCAUCUCCGGUGUUAAGGAUGGUUCCGUAGAGAGCUUGGUAGCCUCAUGGAAACUUUGCAUUACCGGCGUGGGUCAGGGAUUCGAGAGUGUCGUUGAGUUUCGUGACGCGUUGCAGAAGUACGCCGUUGCUUGUCGUUUUGGGUACAGGUUAAGGAAGAAUGAAUCGAACCGAGCGUGUGGGGUUUGUUUGGUUGGAGGUUGUCCUUGGAAGAUUUAUGCGUCAUGGGUACCAUCAGAAAGCAUGUUUAGGAUUAAAAAGUUUAACAGAAGGCAUACAUGUGGGGGAGAAUCUUGGAAAUCUGCUCAUCCAAAAAAGAACUGGGUGGUGAGUAUCAUCAAGGAGAGGUUGCAGGAGAAUCCAAAUCAGAAGACUAAGAACAUCGCCGACUCCAUCUUUCAAGAUUUUGGUAUUGAGCUGAGUUAUUGCACCAUUAGACGAGGCAUUGAUGAAGCCAAAGGAGGGCUUCACACAUCAUUCAAAGACGCGUAUAAGCAUUUGCCUCUUUUUGUGAAUAAGGUUGUUGAGACAAACCCUGGAAGUAUAGUUGAUCUUGUGGUUGGUGAGGACAAGAGAUUUCAGCGGCUUUUUCUGUCUUUCCGGUCUUGUAUAAAUGGGUUUCUAACUGGUUGCAGGCCGCUUCUUUUCCUUGAUGCCAUUCCCUUUAAGUCGAGGUAUCAUGAGAUUUUGUUAACAGCUACUGCCUUGGAUGGAGAUGAUGGUGUGCUUCCAGUGGCAUUAGCCCUUGUUGAUGUGGAAACUGACGAAACUUGGCGUUGGUUUCUUGAGCAAGUAAAGGUAGCUGUGCCAAGUUUACGUCCCCUUACAUUUGUCUCUGACCGUGAGAAAGGGCUAGUGAGUUCUGUGCUGGAGAUUUUCGAGAACGCACAUCAUGGUUAUUCCAUUCAUUACUUGAUGGAGGACUUUAUGAGAAGCCUGAGAGGUCCGUUUCUUGGAGACGGGAAGCCAUCCUUAUCGUACUAUCUACUGGCUGCAGCACGUGCUGAUCGACUUGAUGGGUUUAAGGUAUACACUGAGCAGAUAAAACGAGUGUCUCCGAAAGCUUAUGAUUGGGUAAUGGAGAUUGAAGGAAAGCACUGGGCCAAUGCGUUGUUUGAAGGUGAACCAUACAGCCACAUAACCUCAGAUGUGGGAGAGAUCUACUCGAAAUGGAUUGAAGAAAUUCAGGAGACCUCAAUCGUCCUGAAGCUUGUGGUGUUUGUGAGUAGAAUCGUGGAGUUGGUAAACAGUAGCCAGGAGAAGUCAAGAGAGUGGUUCAGCCACCUUGUGCCAUCCAAGGAGGAAAGUCUAGUGGAAGAAUGCAAGAAAGCAAGCACGCUUAAAGUUUUCUUUUGCUCCGACACGCUUUUCGAGGUUCACGAUGGGUCUGUUCAGCUCGUGGACAUGAGUAACCAAACAUGCAGCUGCUUCGGGUGGAAGCCCACUGGUCUUCCUUGCCAGCAUGCGAUUGCUGUCCUAAACACCAAAGGCAGAAAUGUUUAUGAGUACUGUUCAAGUUUCUUUACAGUUGAGAGUUUCCGUUCAACGUAUUCAGAAGCUCUGGGGCCAGUUGCGAUCGACUUACCUUCAGUGGAGAAUGAAGGGAGCAGCAAGGAAGAGGAAGAACAAGUACUUCCGCCUCUGUUUUCGCGUGUUCAGGGAGUGGACAAAAGAAUCAAGGACAGGAAAAGAGGACGAUCCGUGUGCUGUACAAAGUGUGGAGGAGUAGGACAUAACAAGGCUACUUGCAAGGAUGAUUGAUCAUUCUUGUGUUUGGCCUGCUUCUGGUCAUUACAUUUGUACAGAGGUUUGCAUCUUUCUUCAUAGAUUUUGUUUGGAACCACAAGAAGAUCCGGUAAGGAUUUCUCUCUCCCUUUUCUUGCUCUCACCUUUAUUUAGUGUAUAAAGUAAUAAACUCAGGAAAGUGUUAUGCUUUGUGGUUAUGUGUUGCUUUGGAUACACUAAUACCUUUUUAUAGUCUUUCUAACAGUUAUUUGACUACAGCUAAAUUUUAUUUCUUCCCUUUGUAUCAUUGCUGAUGCCAAACCUUAAUUAUAAUCCAUAGCUAGCAUCUGUUAUUUAUAAAUUAAAGAUACCACACCCAGAAGUAAAGAGAAGGCAAAAUAACUUAGGAAUUUCUAAAAUAUUAUUUUAAAAAGAUUUUCUGAUCUUUAAAUUAAAAGUUUGGAGACAUUCCAAACUCACAACCUCAAAUUUAAUUUAAAUGAAUAUAUUUUGUGUUUUUUUUAAGUAAACUACAUAUUAUACUUUUUUGUGUGACUACAGACUAUAUGAAAACUUCGUGAACCAAUUUAGGAAUUUUGUCUAUCUGGACAACAUAAAUUGUUGAUUUGAAUAUUUCCCAUACAAAAUUGUCCGCUUUUGAGUUUGGAACACAUGUGUAAUUUCACAUGUUUUGAUUUUUUUUUUACUUCGUUGAAACUUUUUUAGAUAUAUUGCAAAAGUGUAUUAUUUUUUUUUAGUUUAGAAAUCAUCUUCACCAUUUCAGUGCAAUAUGUUGCAAAUGUCACAUAUAGCUGCGGAAAAGUUUUCAUGCUUUAUGUAGCUCAUAUAGUAUUUGAAUUCCAGAUGUAGAGGUGACAUGCAACUCUUUGUAUUUCUUACUCUUAUUAGAGCAAAAAUUUUUUGUAAUGUACUAUAUCAUCAUUGUCCGAAAAAAUCUAUGCUUUUCUAUGAGUCAUCAGCGUAACACCAUCGAUGUUCCAAAUGCAUUGGUUCUGACCCAACAUCAGUUUGCAGAAUGUGAACUUCGUUCUAUAGCAACUAUUAUGUUUUCGCUAAUACAAGUGCAUCCCGAAGAUUUCAGUCGAUAUUAAUAAAUAACUUAUCAUUCCUACCUUUAGUAUUUAAUAUUUUAAAGUAAUUGUUUCUACUUGGGAUGAAACUUAAUUAUCAAAUCCCGUUAUAUAGCUGAAUGCUAUGGCUUUUGGUUUUAUUGUGCCAAUAAUUAUAUAAUCAUACUAGCCCAAGAUUGUUUAGGGUAUCUUUAUUUAGAGUCUGAUUGGUAAUGAUUGUAGUUUUAAAAAAUUCGUGCAGAAAAAAUCUGUAGAUUUUUUUUGCUGUGGUUUUAAAUUUUAUUGAUGUAGAAUUUUAUAAAAACCCCCAAAAAAUUGUUGUAGAUAUUUAGCUAUAUAGAGCACUCGUAUAGCUGUAGGUUAUUUCAAGAACUGUGAUUUUAAUUUUUUUUUAUUAAAGCUUGAUUACUGUGAAUUUAGCGCUGUAAAAUAAAUGGGACUGUGGACAGCACCUACAACCAAUACCAGUCACACCUUUAGAUCAUGGCGAGCGAGAGUUGAGUCACCGUGAUCGGAACUCACCAAAUCCGAUCAACUUCUGUAAGACUAAAACCAUUAACCAUCUAUCCACUUACAUCUCUAACAAAGUACAAUGAUCUCAUGACCUAAUGUUUAUCCGCCAGAAAUUUAGAAGUUCACUAUGUCAAAAGUAUUCAAGAAUAUAUAUUUCUUAAACAAUGCCCACGUUGGUCUCCAACGUCUACAAACAUCAACAUAAGUUUUAUAUCUAGAUGCAAUUUAUCUAUACGUUAUAACCAUGCUAUGCAGAAGAGAGAAAGAUUGGAAAAUAUACAUUGAUAGAAUUGGUUGGAAGCAAAACUAUGAUGCGGAGGAUCAAUGUUGGAACCACAUUAAAAAAAAGUAUUGCAUAGAAUAUGAGUUAAAAGACUUGGUUGUUAACUCACCGUUCUACAAAUAAAUGCUAGAAUUUUAUGUCACCCGAACAACAUUAACAAGGGAUGCGACCGCUACUAUUUGUACAAGCAAAUAAAUAAGUUCGUCUACUUCAUUAAACAUAUGUUUAUUAAAUAUUUAAAUCUUAAUAAGCUCGCAAGAACUAUUAUGUACUAUCCAAAUAAUAUUUAAUAGUAAAUUAGUUCACCGCAAUUAAAAAAAUAUUAUUCUUCAAGGAUAACAAUUUAGUUGCAUUCUUUGUCUCCAAUAUAUAAAAUUCAUAAUGUCAUACAUUAAAAAAAUUACACUUUACGUUAGUCAAUCACAUCACAUUAUUUGAAUACAUAUCCAUCAACACUAACAGCUAAGUUUUUAUGCUACAAACCAGCAAAUUUUUUUUUUUAUAAAUUUGCUGCACGUAACGCGGACACACCACUAGUAUACCAUAAUAUCCAAGUAAUUGAUGGUAAUUCAUAUGUUCUUGAAUUUACCAAAAAAAUAAUUCAUAUUAGCGAAGACUAAAAAUAUAAAAAAAUUUCAAGGAUUUGUCAAAGUUUUAAGAGGGCCCAUAUCUGUAUUGUUAGAAGACAUUUAAAAAGACAUGACUAGCCAUAUAGUUGUCUUUGUGCUACAAUGUAUUAUUAACUUCAAACUAACCAUUGUUUGGUUGUUUGGUGUUAAUUCUUUAGGUUCUUUGGGUUUUUUAAAAACUUUUUGCGGCCCCUUAAACCUUAUCAGCUAAAAAAACAUUUUUGGUUCCAAUCACUUGUAACUGAAUCUUCAUUAACCUUCUUAAUGAUAUAUACCAUUUAGCAAAAAAAAGCCAAAAAAACAUGACUAAUAGUUUAUUCCUUCACCCAUAACAUGCAUAUUGUGUGUCACAUUUUAUUCUUUUUGAUACCAAAAUUCUUUACCACAAGAAUUGUUUUAUUUUUUGUGGACAUUUUAUUUUUAUAAAUGGGCUUGUAAGUAUUUGACUAAUAGACCAAAAGGAGUAGCAAAUCUUUCUUUAUCCACACAUUAAUAUUCUGUGUGAUUUCUUAAUUUAACCAUAUAUUUUUCGACUUUGUCAAAUACCAACCGAUCAUUAUUUGACGUCACAAUUCAUUUGAAGACUCAAUCAAUACAUUAAUCAUCUGUGUAUUCUAUAUUGGAUCAAUUAGCUGAUCCACCGUAAGAGUAGGUUUCCAAUUUGUAUUUUACAAUUUGCUGGUUUUGGGUGAGUAUCUUGGAUCCAUCAGCGAAAAGUAAACAUCAAAUCGGUUAAUAUAAUAAACAUAAUUUAAUUUUGUAAAAAAAUAUUAUAUGUUUUAGAAGUGCAGGCGAAAAUCCCCUAUAUAUUAGAAAUAUUUUUAAUAAUUAAUCUUUAAAGUGUAAAUUAUUCACAAAAAUUUUAUUAUGUUGAUGCGCUAUCACAAGAGACCUUCUCAUAUCCCACAUUAAAAAAGAUUUCUCUGACUAAAUUAAUUACAUGAUAUGCCGUGAGACCUUCUUUUUUAUUAUUAUUAUAAUAAUUUCAUGUCAGACUAUAUGCAACGGUUUUUUUAUUCAACAUCCGCUUUUUUACUUUUUAAUUAUCCACAUCACCUGUUCUUUCGUCUACGUAAUCAUUCAGUAUUUAUUCAACAUUUGAAUCCUACAAUCUAAACUAUUAAAACAGAAGUACAAAAAUGAAAUAACCCUGAUUUUUCUUCAAAAAUUACAACUUUAUGCCACUGAUUUAAGCACGGUCGUUUUAUAACAUUACAAAAAACGUUCUAACCAAAUUUGACUCACUUUGACCUGAAAUAACGUGAAACAAAACAGACGGAACCUAUCUCGCGUGUUUCGUUUCUGUGUUGUAAACGCAUGGCAAGACAAAUCCUAGAAGAAAUUAGAUGAUGAAGAUGCUUGAUUUUCGUCGACAGCUGUGGAAUCAGAUGGAGAUUUAAGAAUCGAUUGUCUAGAUCUUAAACUUGAACCCAAAGUCUAGAUCUUUAUCGAAGAAGAUGGUGAUCUGAUGAUAUAGGAAUCACAGAGAGUUUCAUUCUCCAUAGAUACCAUUAGCUAAACCAGUUGGGUUCCAUUUAAUUGAGUUAGCGAAUGGUUUCAUGCCAAUAAACCAACAGUGAUCUACUUUCAGUAUGUUUUUGAGGAAUUCAAUGGGAUCUAUAAGGUUUUUAUGGUGGAUUAUAAAGAUUGAUGUUUUUAGGAUUAUUUGGCCGGAGCUUGCGGAGGUAGACGCGGCGGAGAAAGCAAUAGUGGUGGAAUUAUCUGAGAAAGUAGAUCAAUCGAGUCAUCAACACCGACAACAAGUUUCCGUCUUUUCAUUGUUUUCCGACAUUUCCGUCUUUUCAAUUCGGUAAUAUCUCUGAAAAAAGUUUUGGGUUUUCUCUGUAUCGUCUAAGUACCAGCAUGAUUGCUCAUGAUAAAUUCUCCACCUUUAUAACUUUGACGUUGAAAGGAGUGAAAAUGUUGAGCUUUAUUGAUGGGUUUCUUCAGGUUUGGCUGGUGUUAUAUACAUCAAAGGCGUUGCAGUUACUAAGUACAAAAGGUGAAGUUUUAUGGAACUUUCUGUUAAGUCAUUACAUCUGUGCUUAUAUAAGUUCAUAGAAAUGAAUAGAACAUUGUUUUUAUAGGUCUGCUGUAAAGUAAUCAGAGGAGUGGUCAUAAGUUCAAAGUUUUUUGUCGAGGUUUGAGGAAUUGGAACACUCGAGAUGUGUUCACUGCCUGAUUCGGUCACAAAUGAAUUCUAUUUUUUUUAUUUACAGCUUGAUGAUGGUUUGGGGCUUUCAUUUACUAACAAAAGGAAAUUUGCCAAAGUUAGAUAUUUAGGUAAUGUAUAGAUGCUUUAACUCUUUAACAUACUUUUCGUUACUAAAAAAAAUUUGAAGUCAACAAAUAUUUAAAACAAUUGCAAUAAAAUUACAUGGCAUGUUUUACAAAAAUAAGACAGUAGUAGACAUAUUAUGCACAGUGAAAAAUUAUACUCAUAUUUUUAAGUGUUUAUUAAAUGAUUUAUAGAAUAAUACUGAAACGUAAAAAAUAUAAAUAGUUAUAAUUAGGUAAAUUUGAACAUUUAUAAUAUUUGAUGAAACUAAAAGAUUAACAACAUAAAAUUGUGAAAAUAAAAGUAAUAAUAAAUUCAAGUUUUAGCCGUUUAAAUUACCAGUGAUAUCCCUCGACCUUCAUGACACAUCUCUCAACACCUCUUUGAAAUCGAAUACUAGCCUUUUCAGACUCCACUAUCUUCGUCACCUGAACCUUGCGGGUUGCGAUCUCCGAGGUGAGAUUCCAGCCUUAAUAGGCAAUCUGAACCAUCUAAGCUAUCUUAGCCUCAAAUAUAACUAUCUCAUAGAAGAAACACAACUAAAAUAAAAUAAAUGAAUGUGAAUCUCACAUUAAUAUCAAAACCGAAAAAUUAUAUGUAUGUUUAAAAAUAAUAGUACUAACUAAAUUUAACUGGGUUAAUUUUGAUUAAAUUUUUUUAAUACCCAAAUAAACUAAACCGAACUAAAUUUAAACCAAACUAAACCCUAAUCUAGAGAAAUACUAAGUCGAGGCCCAUUUAUUUACUGUAAAUUAUGUUAACCAUUUAAUCUGGAAGCUUAUGUUUAUAGGCUUAUUCUAAUGAAUGCACGGGCCAUUUAUUUACUUAUAAAUUAUUUUACUAAUAUGAUCUAUUAAUAUGCUAAUUGAACUUCGGUACAUAGACUAAUAUAUAUAUAUAUAUAUAUAUAUAUAUACCAAAAUGGGUUUAUGAUAAUGAAAUUAUAUGAAAAUAAAAUAAGAGCUUCACCAUUAUAACAAAUAAUAUAUUCUGUAUCUGGGUUCCUAUAUAUUAUUUUUAAAUUAUAUUACAAAUUUUUACAAUGUAUAAAUACAUUCAUAUAAUAAAAUUAAAGGAAUAUAAUAUAAAACACUUAAAAUUAAGACGUAUAAAACAAUAUGAAUGUUAUGUGUAAGCAUAUCAUAUAAAACAGAUAUAUAAUAUAGUAAAUGUUAUAUAUCUAUACCAUUAAAAAUAUAUACUAUUCAUUUUUAUAAAAAAAAUUGACAUCCGCGCGGACGCGCGGGUCAAAGGCUAGUGAUUUAUUUAAAAAACAAUUCAACACCCUCUUUAACUAUUUUUAUUGCAAUUGUUUUUCCUAUUUUUGUAUAUACAUAAAACUAUUUACUAUACUUUUUUUGUAACACAUAAUAUUAACUUAUACAAAAAAAGAGAAUUUAUCAUAAAAUAAUAUAAAAUAAUAGGAAAAAAGUUUCCUAGCUACACGAAGUUUACACUAAUAUGGUGGAAACCAUCCAAUAUAUGAAAAUGUGUCAACAACUACACGAAGUUUAUGUUAAUACAUGUCACAUGUACGAAGUAAAUAAUAAUAUGGUGGUAACAUCACAAUCGGGUUUAAUUGAUUUUAAGCUAAGUUAAUGGAGUCAAUCCGUAAUUUACUAAACUUAAUAAACUUAAUGAUUUUUUUUUUUUGACAGCAAAAAAUAUUCACAGACUCAUAUAGACUCUGUAAACCAAGGUGGUAACUCUGUAAACCAAGGUGGUAACUUAAUGAUUUUUCAAGUUUAAUAAACUUAAUUGAUUUUAUUAAUAAACUUAGUAAUUUAAUAAACUUUAACUAAAAAAAAUUAAUAAUUUAUUAUACUUAAUAAAUUAUUAAACUUAAUAAACUUAAUAAUUUAAUAAACUUAAUAAAUUUAAACUUAAUAAAAUUAAUGGUUUAUUAAAUUUAAUAAACUUAAUUGAUUUUAUUAAUAAGCUUAGUAAUUUAAUAAACUUUAACUUAAUAAACUUAAUAAUUUAUUAUACUUAAUAAAUUAUUUAACUUAAUAAUUUAUUAUACUUAACAAAUUAUUAAACUUAAUAAACUUAAUAACUUAAUAAACGUAAACUUAAUAAACUUAAUAAACUUAAUAGAUUUAUUAAACUUAAUAAACUUAAUAAAUUUAUUUAACUUAAUAAAUUUAUUAAGUUUAUUAAGUUUGUUAAAUGAUUAAUUUUUAUAAGUUUAAUAAAUUUAUUAUUUUUUAUAAAAUUAAUAAAUUUAUUAAUUUUUAUAAGUGUAAUAAAUUUAUUAAGUUUAUUAAGUAAGUUUAAUAAAUUAUUAAGUUUAUUAACAAAAUCAAUUAAGUUUAUUAAACUUAAUAAAUCAGUAAGUUUAUUAAGUUUAGUAAAUUACAGAUUGACCCCAUUAACUUGAUUUAAAAUCAAUUAAACCCGAUUGUGAUGUUGCCACCAUAUUAUUAUUUCGUACAUGUGACAUGUAUUAACAUAAACUUCGUGUAUUUGUUGACACAUUCUCAUACACCGGAUGGUUUUCACCAUAUAAUAGUAAACUUCGUAUAGCUAUGAAACUUUUUUCCAAAAUAAUAAUAAAAAAUAUGUUGAUAUAAAAAUAUUAUUUUGAAACUAAAUAAACCAAGUCUCUAUUUAUAGAGUAUAAAAAUGAUGAAUUUUGAUAUAAUUAUAAUUAUUAAAAAUUAUGUAUUAUAAAAUAAUUGAUCUAUAAAAAUUGAAACUAAACUUUCAUCCACGAGUUAUAAUUUUAUAACGUGUACCAAUUAUUGAAGAAAUUGUCCACAACAUUAAUAUGGACCCUAUUUCUACCCUUUCAACGGUGUUGAAUAUAUUCAACCGAUAGUAAUCCAUAUAGAUCUUUUGAUUUCUUCAACACCACCACUGUGGGGAUUCAGCAGUUGAAUACCUUAUUCAACAGGCUCAUUGCACUUACCCUAAGACUAGGAGCAAUGAGGUUGUUGAAUGAAAAAUUCAACUGCUUAAUCCUUAGAAUUAGGCUGUUGAAUUCAAAUAAAAUCCAACGUGGAUUAGUACAUGUUGAAAAGUUUCAACUGGUUGAAUACCAAAUGAGUGCGUCCUACAGGAACAUGUGUUGAAAUGUGAAGAGAGAAACUGAUGAGAGAGUGAAUUCACACGUUAAAUACAUAGUGAAUGGAUCCCAAGAAACAAUUUGAUUGGUUGUCAAAACUAUCAGACACUACACUUAUAGCAUAUGGGAAUGUAGCUAAUGUACCCAUUGAAGUUGCCACAGAAGACAACAGCCUCGUUGAUGUUAGUUUGAUAUCUAGAAAGGUCGUCGCCCCCAGGUUUACUUCUGAAUCCAGUGGUCUUGUUGAGAUUCCUGUAACCGUAUCGACUGGUCCAGUGGUACCAGCCAAAUCAACUUCGAAGAAACCCAAGCGGAAAGGGAAGACGACCAGUCUUGCUUCCAGUAACUAUAAACUGACUCCCAGAAGUUCCAAACAAACAGUGAUGGGUUCAAAAAGCUCCUCUCCGAUGUCCCCUGCGAGUGUUAGUAAACGAAGACGUGUGAUGGAAGAACCCAGCAUGUUGCUCCAGGAUGAAAACGCCGGCGAGACAAGGAGAAGAUCCUUGAGAAACAGGGGAGAAAUUCGAAAGCCUGUAAUAGAAACUGAUGAGGAUGAAUAUCUCUUAAGUGACGAAGAUGAUGCUCACGAUAAUCUUGAUGUAGAUGAUGACAAGGACUACGUCCAGGAUAUUGAUGCCUAUUACCCUGAAACCGAGGAUGUUGACUCUGAACCCCAGAUGAUGAAUUAUUCCAUCUCCGGUGUUAAGGAUGGUUCCGUAGAGAGCUUGGUAGCCUCAUGGAAACUUUGCAUUACCGGCGUGGGUCAGGGAUUCGAGAGUGUCGUUGAGUUUCGUGACGCGUUGCAGAAGUACGCCGUUGCUUGUCGUUUUGGGUACAGGUUAAGGAAGAAUGAAUCGAACCGAGCGUGUGGGGUUUGUUUGGUUGGAGGUUGUCCUUGGAAGAUUUAUGCGUCAUGGGUACCAUCAGAAAGCAUGUUUAGGAUUAAAAAGUUUAACAGAAGGCAUACAUGUGGGGGAGAAUCUUGGAAAUCUGCUCAUCCAAAAAAGAACUGGGUGGUGAGUAUCAUCAAGGAGAGGUUGCAGGAGAAUCCAAAUCAGAAGACUAAGAACAUCGCCGACUCCAUCUUUCAAGAUUUUGGUAUUGAGCUGAGUUAUUGCACCAUUAGACGAGGCAUUGAUGAAGCCAAAGGAGGGCUUCACACAUCAUUCAAAGACGCGUAUAAGCAUUUGCCUCUUUUUGUGAAUAAGGUUGUUGAGACAAACCCUGGAAGUAUAGUUGAUCUUGUGGUUGGUGAGGACAAGAGAUUUCAGCGGCUUUUUCUGUCUUUCCGGUCUUGUAUAAAUGGGUUUCUAACUGGUUGCAGGCCGCUUCUUUUCCUUGAUGCCAUUCCCUUUAAGUCGAGGUAUCAUGAGAUUUUGUUAACAGCUACUGCCUUGGAUGGAGAUGAUGGUGUGCUUCCAGUGGCAUUAGCCCUUGUUGAUGUGGAAACUGACGAAACUUGGCGUUGGUUUCUUGAGCAAGUAAAGGUAGCUGUGCCAAGUUUACGUCCCCUUACAUUUGUCUCUGACCGUGAGAAAGGGCUAGUGAGUUCUGUGCUGGAGAUUUUCGAGAACGCACAUCAUGGUUAUUCCAUUCAUUACUUGAUGGAGGACUUUAUGAGAAGCCUGAGAGGUCCGUUUCUUGGAGACGGGAAGCCAUCCUUAUCGUACUAUCUACUGGCUGCAGCACGUGCUGAUCGACUUGAUGGGUUUAAGGUAUACACUGAGCAGAUAAAACGAGUGUCUCCGAAAGCUUAUGAUUGGGUAAUGGAGAUUGAAGGAAAGCACUGGGCCAAUGCGUUGUUUGAAGGUGAACCAUACAGCCACAUAACCUCAGAUGUGGGAGAGAUCUACUCGAAAUGGAUUGAAGAAAUUCAGGAGACCUCAAUCGUCCUGAAGCUUGUGGUGUUUGUGAGUAGAAUCGUGGAGUUGGUAAACAGUAGCCAGGAGAAGUCAAGAGAGUGGUUCAGCCACCUUGUGCCAUCCAAGGAGGAAAGUCUAGUGGAAGAAUGCAAGAAAGCAAGCACGCUUAAAGUUUUCUUUUGCUCCGACACGCUUUUCGAGGUUCACGAUGGGUCUGUUCAGCUCGUGGACAUGAGUAACCAAACAUGCAGCUGCUUCGGGUGGAAGCCCACUGGUCUUCCUUGCCAGCAUGCGAUUGCUGUCCUAAACACCAAAGGCAGAAAUGUUUAUGAGUACUGUUCAAGUUUCUUUACAGUUGAGAGUUUCCGUUCAACGUAUUCAGAAGCUCUGGGGCCAGUUGCGAUCGACUUACCUUCAGUGGAGAAUGAAGGGAGCAGCAAGGAAGAGGAAGAACAAGUACUUCCGCCUCUGUUUUCGCGUGUUCAGGGAGUGGACAAAAGAAUCAAGGACAGGAAAAGAGGACGAUCCGUGUGCUGUACAAAGUGUGGAGGAGUAGGACAUAACAAGGCUACUUGCAAGGAUGAUUGAUCAUUCUUGUGUUUGGCCUGCUUCUGGUCAUUACAUUUGUACAGAGGUUUGCAUCUUUCUUCAUAGAUUUUGUUUGGAACCACAAGAAGAUCCGGUAAGGAUUUCUCUCUCCCUUUUCUUGCUCUCACCUUUAUUUAGUGUAUAAAGUAAUAAACUCAGGAAAGUGUUAUGCUUUGUGGUUAUGUGUUGCUUUGGAUACACUAAUACCUUUUUAUAGUCUUUCUAACAGUUAUUUGACUACAGCUAAAUUUUAUUUCUUCCCUUUGUAUCAUUGCUGAUGCCAAACCUUAAUUAUAAUCCAUAGCUAGCAUCUGUUAUUUAUAAAUUAAAGAUACCACACCCAGAAGUAAAGAGAAGGCAAAAUAACUUAGGAAUUUCUAAAAUAUUAUUUUAAAAAGAUUUUCUGAUCUUUAAAUUUAAAGUUUGGAGACAUUCCAAACUCACAACCUCAAAUUUAAUUUAAAUGAAUAUAUUUUGUGUUUUUUUUAAGUAAACUACAUAUUAUACUUUUUUGUGUGACUACAGACUAUAUGAAAACUUCGUGAACCAAUUUAGGAAUUUUGUCUAUCUGGACAACAUAAAUUGUUGAUUUGAAUAUUUCCCAUACAAAAUUGUCCGCUUUUGAGUUUGGAACACAUGUGUAAUUUCACAUGUUUUGAUUUUUUUUUUACUUCGUUGAAACUUUUUUAGAUAUAUUGCAAAAGUGUAUUAUUUUUUUUUAGUUUAGAAAUCAUCUUCACCAUUUCAGUGCAAUAUGUUGCAAAUGUCACAUAUAGCUGCGGAAAAGUUUUCAUGCUUUAUGUAGCUCAUAUAGUAUUUGAAUUCCAGAUGUAGAGGUGACAUGCAACUCUUUGUAUUUCUUACUCUUAUUAGAGCAAAAAUUUUUUGUAAUGUACUAUAUCAUCAUUGUCCGAAAAAAUCUAUGCUUUUCUAUGAGUCAUCAGCGUAACACCAUCGAUGUUCCAAAUGCAUUGGUUCUGACCCAACAUCAGUUUGCAGAAUGUGAACUUCGUUCUAUAGCAACUAUUAUGUUUUCGCUAAUACAAGUGCAUCCCGAAGAUUUCAGUCGAUAUUAAUAAAUAACUUAUCAUUCCUACCUUUAGUAUUUAAUAUUUUAAAGUAAUUGUUUCUACUUGGGAUGAAACUUAAUUAUCAAAUCCCGUUAUAUAGCUGAAUGCUAUGGCUUUUGGUUUUAUUGUGCCAAUAAUUAUAUAAUCAUACUAGCCCAAGAUUGUUUAGGGUAUCUUUAUUUAGAGUCUGAUUGGUAAUGAUUGUAGUUUUAAAAAAUUCGUGCAGAAAAAAUCUGUAGAUUUUUUUUGCUGUGGUUUUAAAUUUUAUUGAUGUAGAAUUUUAUAAAAACCCCCAAAAAAUUGUUGUAGAUAUUUAGCUAUAUAGAGCACUCGUAUAGCUGUAGGUUAUUUCAAGAACUGUGAUUUUAAUUUUUUUUUAUUAAAGCUUGAUUACUGUGAAUUUAGCGCUGUAAAAUAAAUGGGACUGUGGACAGCACCUACAACCAAUACCAGUCACACCUUUAGAUCAUGGCGAGCGAGAGUUGAGUCACCGUGAUCGGAACUCACCAAAUCCGAUCAACUUCUGUAAGACUAAAACCAUUAACCAUCUAUCCACUUACAUCUCUAACAAAGUACAAUGAUCUCAUGACCUAAUGUUUAUCCGCCAGAAAUUUAGAAGUUCACUAUGUCAAAAGUAUUCAAGAAUAUAUAUUUCUUAAACAAUGCCCACGUUGGUCUCCAACGUCUACAAACAUCAACAUAAGUUUUAUAUCUAGAUGCAAUUUAUCUAUACGUUAUAACCAUGCUAUGCAGAAGAGAGAAAGAUUGGAAAAUAUACAUUGAUAGAAUUGGUUGGAAGCAAAACUAUGAUGCGGAGGAUCAAUGUUGGAACCACAUUAAAAAAAAGUAUUGCAUAGAAUAUGAGUUAAAAGACUUGGUUGUUAACUCACCGUUCUACAAAUAAAUGCUAGAAUUUUAUGUCACCCGAACAACAUUAACAAGGGAUGCGACCGCUACUAUUUGUACAAGCAAAUAAAUAAGUUCGUCUACUUCAUUAAACAUAUGUUUAUUAAAUAUUUAAAUCUUAAUAAGCUCGCAAGAACUAUUAUGUACUAUCCAAAUAAUAUUUAAUAGUAAAUUAGUUCACCGCAAUUAAAAAAAUAUUAUUCUUCAAGGAUAACAAUUUAGUUGCAUUCUUUGUCUCCAAUAUAUAAAAUUCAUAAUGUCAUACAUUAAAAAAAUUACACUUUACGUUAGUCAAUCACAUCACAUUAUUUGAAUACAUAUCCAUCAACACUAACAGCUAAGUUUUUAUGCUACAAACCAGCAAAUUUUUUUUUUUAUAAAUUUGCUGCACGUAACGCGGACACACCACUAGUAUACCAUAAUAUCCAAGUAAUUGAUGGUAAUUCAUAUGUUCUUGAAUUUACCAAAAAAAUAAUUCAUAUUAGCGAAGACUAAAAAUAUAAAAAAAUUUCAAGGAUUUGUCAAAGUUUUAAGAGGGCCCAUAUCUGUAUUGUUAGAAGACAUUUAAAAAGACAUGACUAGCCAUAUAGUUGUCUUUGUGCUACAAUGUAUUAUUAACUUCAAACUAACCAUUGUUUGGUUGUUUGGUGUUAAUUCUUUAGGUUCUUUGGGUUUUUUAAAAACUUUUUGCGGCCCCUUAAACCUUAUCAGCUAAAAAAACAUUUUUGGUUCCAAUCACUUGUAACUGAAUCUUCAUUAACCUUCUUAAUGAUAUAUACCAUUUAGCAAAAAAAAGCCAAAAAAACAUGACUAAUAGUUUAUUCCUUCACCCAUAACAUGCAUAUUGUGUGUCACAUUUUAUUCUUUUUGAUACCAAAAUUCUUUACCACAAGAAUUGUUUUAUUUUUUGUGGACAUUUUAUUUUUAUAAAUGGGCUUGUAAGUAUUUGACUAAUAGACCAAAAGGAGUAGCAAAUCUUUCUUUAUCCACACAUUAAUAUUCUGUGUGAUUUCUUAAUUUAACCAUAUAUUUUUCGACUUUGUCAAAUACCAACCGAUCAUUAUUUGACGUCACAAUUCAUUUGAAGACUCAAUCAAUACAUUAAUCAUCUGUGUAUUCUAUAUUGGAUCAAUUAGCUGAUCCACCGUAAGAGUAGGUUUCCAAUUUGUAUUUUACAAUUUGCUGGUUUUGGGUGAGUAUCUUGGAUCCAUCAGCGAAAAGUAAACAUCAAAUCGGUUAAUAUAAUAAACAUAAUUUAAUUUUGUAAAAAAAUAUUAUAUGUUUUAGAAGUGCAGGCGAAAAUCCCCUAUAUAUUAGAAAUAUUUUUAAUAAUUAAUCUUUAAAGUGUAAAUUAUUCACAAAAAUUUUAUUAUGUUGAUGCGCUAUCACAAGAGACCUUCUCAUAUCCCACAUUAAAAAAGAUUUCUCUGACUAAAUUAAUUACAUGAUAUGCCGUGAGACCUUCUUUUUUAUUAUUAUUAUAAUAAUUUCAUGUCAGACUAUAUGCAACGGUUUUUUUAUUCAACAUCCGCUUUUUUACUUUUUAAUUAUCCACAUCACCUGUUCUUUCGUCUACGUAAUCAUUCAGUAUUUAUUCAACAUUUGAAUCCUACAAUCUAAACUAUUAAAACAGAAGUACAAAAAUGAAAUAACCCUGAUUUUUCUUCAAAAAUUACAACUUUAUGCCACUGAUUUAAGCACGGUCGUUUUAUAACAUUACAAAAAACGUUCUAACCAAAUUUGACUCACUUUGACCUGAAAUAACGUGAAACAAAACAGACGGAACCUAUCUCGCGUGUUUCGUUUCUGUGUUGUAAACGCAUGGCAAGACAAAUCCUAGAAGAAAUUAGAUGAUGAAGAUGCUUGAUUUUCGUCGACAGCUGUGGAAUCAGAUGGAGAUUUAAGAAUCGAUUGUCUAGAUCUUAAACUUGAACCCAAAGUCUAGAUCUUUAUCGAAGAAGAUGGUGAUCUGAUGAUAUAGGAAUCACAGAGAGUUUCAUUCUCCAUAGAUACCAUUAGCUAAACCAGUUGGGUUCCAUUUAAUUGAGUUAGCGAAUGGUUUCAUGCCAAUAAACCAACAGUGAUCUACUUUCAGUAUGUUUUUGAGGAAUUCAAUGGGAUCUAUAAGGUUUUUAUGGUGGAUUAUAAAGAUUGAUGUUUUUAGGAUUAUUUGGCCGGAGCUUGCGGAGGUAGACGCGGCGGAGAAAGCAAUAGUGGUGGAAUUAUCUGAGAAAGUAGAUCAAUCGAGUCAUCAACACCGACAACAAGUUUCCGUCUUUUCAUUGUUUUCCGACAUUUCCGUCUUUUCAAUUCGGUAAUAUCUCUGAAAAAAGUUUUGGGUUUUCUCUGUAUCGUCUAAGUACCAGCAUGAUUGCUCAUGAUAAAUUCUCCACCUUUAUAACUUUGACGUUGAAAGGAGUGAAAAUGUUGAGCUUUAUUGAUGGGUUUCUUCAGGUUUGGCUGGUGUUAUAUACAUCAAAGGCGUUGCAGUUACUAAGUACAAAAGGUGAAGUUUUAUGGAACUUUCUGUUAAGUCAUUACAUCUGUGCUUAUAUAAGUUCAUAGAAAUGAAUAGAACAUUGUUUUUAUAGGUCUGCUGUAAAGUAAUCAGAGGAGUGGUCAUAAGUUCAAAGUUUUUUGUCGAGGUUUGAGGAAUUGGAACACUCGAGAUGUGUUCACUGCCUGAUUCGGUCACAAAUGAAUUCUAUUUUUUUUAUUUACAGCUUGAUGAUGGUUUGGGGCUUUCAUUUACUAACAAAAGGAAAUUUGCCAAAGUUAGAUAUUUAGGUAAUGUAUAGAUGCUUUAACUCUUUAACAUACUUUUCGUUACUAAAAAAAAUUUGAAGUCAACAAAUAUUUAAAACAAUUGCAAUAAAAUUACAUGGCAUGUUUUACAAAAAUAAGACAGUAGUAGACAUAUUAUGCACAGUGAAAAAUUAUACUCAUAUUUUUAAGUGUUUAUUAAAUGAUUUAUAGAAUAAUACUGAAACGUAAAAAAUAUAAAUAGUUAUAAUUAGGUAAAUUUGAACAUUUAUAAUAUUUGAUGAAACUAAAAGAUUAACAACAUAAAAUUGUGAAAAUAAAAGUAAUAAUAAAUUCAAGUUUUAGCCGUUUAAAUUACCAGUGAUAUCCCUCGACCUUCAUGACACAUCUCUCAACACCUCUUUGAAAUCGAAUACUAGCCUUUUCAGACUCCACUAUCUUCGUCACCUGAACCUUGCGGGUUGCGAUCUCCGAGGUGAGAUUCCAGCCUUAAUAGGCAAUCUGAACCAUCUAAGCUAUCUUAGCCUCAAAUAUAACUAUCUCAUAGAAGAAACACAACUAAAAUAAAAUAAAUGAAUGUGAAUCUCACAUUAAUAUCAAAACCGAAAAAUUAUAUGUAUGUUUAAAAAUAAUAGUACUAACUAAAUUUAACUGGGUUAAUUUUGAUUAAAUUUUUUUAAUACCCAAAUAAACUAAACCGAACUAAAUUUAAACCAAACUAAACCCUAAUCUAGAGAAAUACUAAGUCGAGGCCCAUUUAUUUACUGUAAAUUAUGUUAACCAUUUAAUCUGGAAGCUUAUGUUUAUAGGCUUAUUCUAAUGAAUGCACGGGCCAUUUAUUUACUUAUAAAUUAUUUUACUAAUAUGAUCUAUUAAUAUGCUAAUUGAACUUCGGUACAUAGACUAAUAUAUAUAUAUAUAUAUAUAUAUAUAUACCAAAAUGGGUUUAUGAUAAUGAAAUUAUAUGAAAAUAAAAUAAGAGCUUCACCAUUAUAACAAAUAAUAUAUUCUGUAUCUGGGUUCCUAUAUAUUAUUUUUAAAUUAUAUUACAAAUUUUUACAAUGUAUAAAUACAUUCAUAUAAUAAAAUUAAAGGAAUAUAAUAUAAAACACUUAAAAUUAAGACGUAUAAAACAAUAUGAAUGUUAUGUGUAAGCAUAUCAUAUAAAACAGAUAUAUAAUAUAGUAAAUGUUAUAUAUCUAUACCAUUAAAAAUAUAUACUAUUCAUUUUUAUAAAAAAAAUUGACAUCCGCGCGGACGCGCGGGUCAAAGGCUAGUGAUUUAUUUAAAAAACAAUUCAACACCCUCUUUAACUAUUUUUAUUGCAAUUGUUUUUCCUAUUUUUGUAUAUACAUAAAACUAUUUACUAUACUUUUUUUGUAACACAUAAUAUUAACUUAUACAAAAAAAGAGAAUUUAUCAUAAAAUAAUAUAAAAUAAUAGGAAAAAAGUUUCCUAGCUACACGAAGUUUACACUAAUAUGGUGGAAACCAUCCAAUAUAUGAAAAUGUGUCAACAACUACACGAAGUUUAUGUUAAUACAUGUCACAUGUACGAAGUAAAUAAUAAUAUGGUGGUAACAUCACAAUCGGGUUUAAUUGAUUUUAAGCUAAGUUAAUGGAGUCAAUCCGUAAUUUACUAAACUUAAUAAACUUAAUGAUUUUUUUUUUUUGACAGCAAAAAAUAUUCACAGACUCAUAUAGACUCUGUAAACCAAGGUGGUAACUCUGUAAACCAAGGUGGUAACUUAAUGAUUUUUCAAGUUUAAUAAACUUAAUUGAUUUUAUUAAUAAACUUAGUAAUUUAAUAAACUUUAACUAAAAAAAAUUAAUAAUUUAUUAUACUUAAUAAAUUAUUAAACUUAAUAAACUUAAUAAUUUAAUAAACUUAAUAAAUUUAAACUUAAUAAAAUUAAUGGUUUAUUAAAUUUAAUAAACUUAAUUGAUUUUAUUAAUAAGCUUAGUAAUUUAAUAAACUUUAACUUAAUAAACUUAAUAAUUUAUUAUACUUAAUAAAUUAUUUAACUUAAUAAUUUAUUAUACUUAACAAAUUAUUAAACUUAAUAAACUUAAUAACUUAAUAAACGUAAACUUAAUAAACUUAAUAAACUUAAUAGAUUUAUUAAACUUAAUAAACUUAAUAAAUUUAUUUAACUUAAUAAAUUUAUUAAGUUUAUUAAGUUUGUUAAAUGAUUAAUUUUUAUAAGUUUAAUAAAUUUAUUAUUUUUUAUAAAAUUAAUAAAUUUAUUAAUUUUUAUAAGUGUAAUAAAUUUAUUAAGUUUAUUAAGUAAGUUUAAUAAAUUAUUAAGUUUAUUAACAAAAUCAAUUAAGUUUAUUAAACUUAAUAAAUCAGUAAGUUUAUUAAGUUUAGUAAAUUACAGAUUGACCCCAUUAACUUGAUUUAAAAUCAAUUAAACCCGAUUGUGAUGUUGCCACCAUAUUAUUAUUUCGUACAUGUGACAUGUAUUAACAUAAACUUCGUGUAUUUGUUGACACAUUCUCAUACACCGGAUGGUUUUCACCAUAUAAUAGUAAACUUCGUAUAGCUAUGAAACUUUUUUCCAAAAUAAUAAUAAAAAAUAUGUUGAUAUAAAAAUAUUAUUUUGAAACUAAAUAAACCAAGUCUCUAUUUAUAGAGUAUAAAAAUGAUGAAUUUUGAUAUAAUUAUAAUUAUUAAAAAUUAUGUAUUAUAAAAUAAUUGAUCUAUAAAAAUUGAAACUAAACUUUCAUCCACGAGUUAUAAUUUUAUAACGUGUACCAAUUAUUGAAGAAAUUGUCCACAACAUUAAUAUGGACCCUAUUUCUACCCUUUCAACGGUGUUGAAUAUAUUCAACCGAUAGUAAUCCAUAUAGAUCUUUUGAUUUCUUCAACACCACCACUGUGGGGAUUCAGCAGUUGAAUACCUUAUUCAACAGGCUCAUUGCACUUACCCUAAGACUAGGAGCAAUGAGGUUGUUGAAUGAAAAAUUCAACUGCUUAAUCCUUAGAAUUAGGCUGUUGAAUUCAAAUAAAAUCCAACGUGGAUUAGUACAUGUUGAAAAGUUUCAACUGGUUGAAUACCAAAUGAGUGCGUCCUACAGGAACAUGUGUUGAAAUGUGAAGAGAGAAACUGAUGAGAGAGUGAAUUCACACGUUAAAUACAUAGUGAAUGGAUCCCAAGAAACAAUUUGAUUGGUUGUCAAAACUAUAAAAUUUUUAUUUAUUUCAAAUUACUGAAACUCAAUUAUUUUAUAGUAAAUAUUAUUUUUGAAAAAUUAAAAUUUAUAUCAAAAUUUAUGAUUUUUUAUGAUCUAUAAAUAGAGAUUAGUCUCAUUUCAUUUGGAUAUAGAAAAAAUAAUUAUCAAUUUUUAUUAUAAUUUCUUUUAUUUUUUAAAAAUUAGUUAAAUAUAAUUAAAAUUUAUUAAAAGCAUUUCAUUUAAUUAUUUAAGUUAAUUACAAUAUAAACUACUAUUAAUAGAUUGUUAUUAAUUUGUAAAACAUAAAAAUAUGAAUUAAAAUGGUAGGAUAUGGUGUUGAAUUUUAUUAAACAAAACUAUUUUAGAAGUAAAAAAUGAGGUGGGUGUUGAAUGAUUAGGUGGAAGAGAGAUAAGAUGAUGUGUAGUGUUAAGAAAAAAAAUUAGGGUGUUGAAUUUAAUAACUUUUUUUUUAGUAACCAUUGUAGAUAGUCUAAUGCAUAAUUGAUUCCCUUGCUAUAGGAAAUCAUUGAAAUCACACAAAAUCUUUUCAAAUAAUAACUUCCGACCUCAUGAAAAUACCAUUUUCACAAACCUCAUGAAAAUUACAUGUACUAUACUAUUAUAAAUAUAAUAACUUCACACAAGAUAAAGUUUUCGAAUAAUAACUUCCCUUAAAAGUACAAACUUUGUUUCAUGAUAACAUUAUAGAAAUUACUACAUUCAAAAACGGAGAAUUAUGUAACAAAAAAUAUAAGCAUCACAAAGAUUUUAAAUUUAAACUUUGUAUUCGCACAUAUAACAAUUACAUAUUGUUUGUUCAAAUGAACGCUUUAUAAUAUUUGAUCUGCUAUAUGGUUUGCGAGAGUUAAAUGUGAUGAUUCUUAAUAGUUUUUAUUAUGAAAGAUGUGAUAUGUGUUUAAACUCGAGACAAUUACUCAAGGUUUCAAGUCAUUUUAUGCAUCUAAAAGUAACUCUCUGCCAUCGAAACUAUUAUACUCAUAUAUAUUUGUUUUAUUUAUUAUUGAUACUGUUUUAUAUAUUUUAUUAAAAUAACUGAACACUAAUAUACUAAGCGUAUUUAUUAUUGAUAGUGUCCAAAUAUAUAUAUAUACGGGGACUGGAUGAAUACAAUUAAUUUAAAUAUCAGAUAUGCCAUUUAUUUACAAUUUAGACUUUGAUUGGUAACUUUGCGGAAUGGCGUAUGAAACGUGAUUCCGCAACUAUUUUAGCAAACAAAAAAAUAUCGUGGAAUGAAAAAAAAAACGCAAAAAUGCAGGUUUGCGUUUUUGCUCACAAAAAAAAUAUUAAGAGAGAUUAUAUUAAGUAGAAAAGUUAGUUUUAGUAGAUUAUAGCGGAAAAAUUUACAAAAUCAACAUUUUCAUAUUGAUACAUUAUAUGCUAAUACAAUCUUAAAUUUUAAAAUACAUAGCAAUAUUUUUUUAUAAUGGUAAAUAGUUAUGUCGUAAAUAAAGUUAUAAUAUAAUUUGUAUAUUAUUAAAUGUCACUAUAUUAUUAAAACAUAUUGAAAGAUAAGCUAGAUAUUUAUAAUAAGAAUUAAAAUAUUUUAAAUAAAUUUUAUUUAGGUUCGCAUUUUGUAAUAACUAGUUUAAUUAUUGAUAUUUUUUUUUUAUUAUAAAAAAUUGAAUACCAUAUAAAAUAGUUUAAUCAUUUUAAUAUGUAUUCCACAAUUCCACAACUUUUAAAUUUUUCUACGGCUUAAUUUUUUUUCCGCAGCUUAAUUAUUUUUUUCGCGAUUAAGCGAUAGUUACCAAUCGGAGCUUUAGUUGGAAUAUUGGCCAAAUUUUGUAAAUACACGUAUAUAAUAUACCUAGAGGAACGGUUAUAGUUGCAAUAUACUAAACAUGUAAUAUAAUCUAUGUAUUAAUGACAAUGAAUAUAUAAGCUAAAAAUUUAUAUGUAAUAAUUGAUUUUAUAUUCUAAAAAUUUAUAUGUAAUAAUUGAUUUUAUAUUCUUAUACGCAGUAUUUCAAAAGAAAAAUUCUUAUAUGGCAAUUUAAUUUACAUGUAACCACUAAUUUAAUCUAUUCAAGCGAUAAAAUUUGUUAUAAACCAAAAUAACUAAAAUUUAUUAACUAAAAAAUCCAUAAUAUAAAAUUAAUUUUUUUAACAAAAUUUUAUUUAUGUAAUAUUAAUAUUUUUUUUAAAGUAUUUCAUCGUGAGCAGGUCACCUAGUAUAUAGUUAUUAUAUAAAGUAUUAAGACAAAUAUAUUAGAAAAUAUAUCUGGAAUAGUUACGGACAUUCUGAUCUAUAUAAUCUAAAUCACAUGGAUUCCAAAUAAAUAGCCAACAUGCUGAUCCGGAUCGAAUCAAGAAGCCAAAUAAAAUAGGGACCUACAUUCAAAUGAUAUCGAGAAGACUUUUUCUUCCAUAUCUGUAUUUGCUUCAAAAGAGGAAGGAGGCUUUGCUUAGUGCGGAAUAAUAAUCUCUCAACUUGGUGAACAUUGGUUAAAUGUUACGUUUAUUAUGCUUAAGAGUUAAGAGAUCCAAAUCGAGUCUGGGUGCAUAAAAGAAAUAAGCCAAUGAGAAAGGUCCACGUAUGUGGACAGAGAUAGUUGAUAAAUGUGAGGGACACAAUGCAGUGCAUCAUCAUCGAGAUCAUCUCUCCUUCAACUUUACUUUGGUGGUAUCAAUCAAUCACUUCCCCCUCCCCCCCACCUCGACUUUUUCUCAAUCACGUCUCUUCCUCAUUAUCUUCGGAUCGUAGAUAGAAAACGUGUUUCUCAGAUCGAUUCUUUGAUUGUAAUAUUUUGAUUUUGCGACAGGUAGAACGAGUGAUGAUUCGGGGUAUGGAGAUUCAUCAUUUGCUACUGGUAGUCGCUGUGUUGUUGAGCUUAGUUUUAAAUGGAGAAGGCGGGAUCACAAGUAGCUAUGUCCGGUCCGAAUGGCCCGCCGUUGAUAUUCCACUCGACCACAAAGUUUUCAAAGUCCCUAAAGGCUACAACGCUCCUCAACAAGCGAGUCAUCUUACACACUGUUUUUUUUAUUUGAAUCGAGAAACUAACUAACAAACAUGUAAUAAAUUAAUUAAAUUAAAUUAGGUACAUAUAACACAAGGUGAUUAUGAUGGAAAGGCAGUUAUCAUCUCUUGGGUGACUCCUGAUGAGCCUGGCUCCAGCACAGUCCAUUACGGCCCCAUGCAGGGGGAAUACGACUUUGUGGCUAAAGGCAGUUACUCUAACUACACUUUCUACAAAUACAAGUCUGGCUACACCCAUCACUGCCUUCUCUCUGGCCUUGAGGUGUCAACAGUACCCACAUGGAACUGCAUAUUUUUAUCUGAUCUUAGUUUAUAUAUCAUUCAAAUGCAAAUUAUUGGGGGUUAAUAUUGCAGUAUAAUACAAAGUACUAUUACAAGAUUGAAAGUGGUGAAUCUUCUAGGGAGUUUUGGUUUGUUACACCACCCCAUGUACAUCCAGAUGCAUCUUACAAGUUUGGUAUCAUAGGUAUGUCACUUAUUGUCUCUCAACUGAGUUGAUCUUCUGCUACUGCUGCUCUUUCUUAUAAGAUUUCAUUGUUAGGCGACCUGGGCCAAACGUUCAACUCCUUGUCCACCCUGGAACACUACAUGCGGAGUGGAGCUCAAGCUGUCUUAUUCCUUGGAGAUCUCUCUUACGCUGACAGAUAUCAGUAUAACGAUGUUGGUGUCAGAUGGGAUACUUGGGGCCGUUUCGUCGAGCCCAGUACCGCUUAUCAACCCUGGCUCUGGUCUGCAGGCAACCACGAAGUCGAUUACAUGCCAUACAUGGUAACAUAUAUAUCUUGAGACUCAUCUUUGAACACUCUUAGUUAGUUGUAACUUGUCACUCUAUUCUGUCUUUUUUUACAGGGGGAAGUGACACCUUUCAAGAAUUACCUUGAGCGUUACACUACGCCAUACUUGGCUUCAAAAAGUAGCAAUCCUCUCUGGUAUGCUGUUAGGCGUGCCUCCGCUCACAUCAUUGUCCUCUCCAGUUAUUCUCCUUUUGGUAAUAUCAUCAUCCUCUCUGCUUCUAACACUUGUCUUAUAAAUAAAAGGUUGGUUUAUACCACUGAGUAGAUGUGAUUGUUGUGCAGUGAAGUAUACCCCGCAGUGGAGAUGGCUUGAUGCAGAGUUCAAAAGAGUAGACAGGGAGAAAACUCCUUGGCUAAUUGUUCUGAUGCAUUCCCCUAUUUACAACAGUAAUGAAGCACACUUCAAGGAGGGUGAAAGCAUGCGAGCAGCUUUUGAGGAAUGGUUUGUCGAAUACAGAGUUGAUGUAGUCUUUGCUGGACAUGUUCAUGCCUACGAGAGAUCGGUAACAUAAACUUCAUUUAACUUAAAACUCUCCUUAGUGUUUUUUUUUGUAAGCUUAAUUGCAAAAUAUUUGUUUAAACCAUCAGUACCGAGUAUCAAAUGUGCGGUAUAAUGUGUCAAGUGGAGACCGCUUCCCAGUUCCAGAUACGUCAGCUCCUGUUUAUAUCACAGUUGGAGACGGAGGAAAUCAAGAAGGUCUUGCGGGAAGGUGAGUGACAUGAACAAAUCUGACAAUGAGCCUUGGAAUGUGAUACAGUUAACCUACAACUAAAAGACUAAGACUUGAGCCGCUAAUAGCUGAGCCUCUUUUGGUUUCAGGUUUAUGGAACCACAGCCAGAUUAUUCUGCAUUUAGAGAAGCUAGCUACGGACACUCCACUCUGGACAUAAAAAACCGAACACAUGCGGUAUACCACUGGAACCGCAAUGAUGAUGGGAAGAAAGUAGCAACAGAUGAGUUUGUGUUAUACAACCAGUACUGGUGAGUUUGCUAGUUCACUUCUUUACUAACGCUUAAAGUAGUAACUGCAGAGCUAAGUGAAAACAAAAAUGCGCAUGAAUGCAGGGGAAAGAACAUUAGACGGAGAAAGCUGAAGAAGCAUUAUAUCAAGAGUGUUGUGGUUGACUGGAUUGCCAGUUGAUUUGCUUACUAAGUAUAGGCGAAGAUAUUCGUCCAACUCUUUGCUCUUUUUCUUUACUACCUAAACCAGAUCUUGAUUACUUAUAUGCUUCUAAUAUUUGUUUGUGCUUAUUCAUCCAUGAACUUAAAUAUUUAAUAUAAACGGGCUAAAACGUAUACACAUGCCUGUAACAUUGUUAGUUAAACUGUCAACAGUUGUAGAGCCAGUGAUGUGCUCAGAGGUUUACGCUUGAAUAUUCAAGCAAGUGCACAGCAAAAUGCAUUAGUAUGGUUAGGUAACUUUGCUAUUUUCCUGUGUUUUUUCCUUAACAUGCAAACAUAAAAGCACUGACGUAAAUAGCUUCUAAAAGGCUCAAAAAGGUUUAUAAUUUAUCUAUGGAUAACCUAGCUGUUGUAUAACGCUCUUUGAUGCUUUCUAGGAAUGAAGAAUAUUAGUUAAGAGAGUUACUUCUCCAACAACCUCAUUAAUGUUCGUUCCAAAGAAGAAUUCAAAAUCAAAACUCGCGCGGGUGCGCGGAUCAAGCUCUAGUUUGUUUUUAUAAUACAUAUACUUAAUAUACGUAUAACAACUAAAUUAGUUACGCUUAAAGUAGUAACUGCAGAGCUAAGUGAAAACAAAAAUGCGCAUGAAUGCAGGGGAAAGAACAUUAGACGGAGAAAGCUGAAGAAGCAUUAUAUCAAGAGUGUUGUGGUUGACUGGAUUGCCAGUUGAUUUGCUUACUAAGUAUAGGCGAAGAUAUUCGUCCAACUCUUUGCUCUUUUUCUUUACUACCUAAACCAGAUCUUGAUUACUUAUAUGCUUCUAAUAUUUGUUUGUGCUUAUUCAUCCAUGAACUUAAAUAUUUAAUAUAAACGGGCUAAAACGUAUACACAUGCCUGUAACAUUGUUAGUUAAACUGUCAACAGUUGUAGAGCCAGUGAUGUGCUCAGAGGUUUACGCUUGAAUAUUCAAGCAAGUGCACAGCAAAAUGCAUUAGUAUGGUUAGGUAACUUUGCUAUUUUCCUGUGUUUUUUCCUUAACAUGCAAACAUAAAAGCACUGACGUAAAUAGCUUCUAAAAGGCUCAAAAAGGUUUAUAAUUUAUCUAUGGAUAACCUAGCUGUUGUAUAACGCUCUUUGAUGCUUUCUAGGAAUGAAGAAUAUUAGUUAAGAGAGUUACUUCUCCAACAACCUCAUUAAUGUUCGUUCCAAAGAAGAAUGCAAUAAAUUUUACAUGGGGAGAAACUUUUCUUGUAGCUUCGUUCUAACUCUCUAGUGGGACCGUCUGUACAGUCCCAACCAGUUUGAAACUGUUAAAACAGAAAUAAAUUUUUGAAAAAGAAGUGUUUGGAAAUUAUUUCAUUGCGUUUAUUUGGUCUAUAAAGUUUGUUCUGAAAGAUAGGUACACUUCUUUUUCUAAUCAAAUAAUUGAAUGGAGCUGUCAUAAAAGUCCAACAUGCAGCAGCUCCCCUAAGCACAUGCAGGCACAACAACGUUGGGCAUAUGCACAAACACAAUAGAAUAUGGAGCUAUUGUUAUUGGAUCUGUUGAGUUUACAUGUAUCGGUUCCAGUGGAGGUAUGUCACCUAUCGAGUUAACCUGCAGUGCAUGACCGUUGAGUAGCAUAGUCUGGCUGUGUAAAUUUGCGUCCUUUGCUGUCAAAUGGUACUCUUCUCUUUGGGUUUCACCAUUAGAGACCCAAGGCAUCUGGGAAGUCCUUGCUAUUUUCUGAGACGUCUUCCUGUGUCUUAGUUUGUAAGUGUUAUUUAGCUCUACGUUCGCCACAACUGUUGUAGUGUUGUCAAGGUUCAUCAGUAAAACUGUGAUCCCUUUCUGCAUGAUUAAAACUUAAAUAGUUACUUCAAGAAGAAAUAAUGCGUUUUUUUUUCUUCUGAGUUACAUGUAUGGAAACUAUGACUUACCGAUUGUCUUGCACAAUGGGUGUAUGAACGUAUCUUUUUGGUUCCGGAAAAGGUUGUGAACAAUGCCUUUCUUCCCAUAAGUCGUCGCCAGAUCAGAGCACUGCAGUUUGACAAGCAGCAUCACUUGGUUAAAAUUUUAAAAUUUGUUCACAGGUUUCAUCUUUUAUAUUAAUUACCUGUAAUAGUCAGGAUUGGGAGUGAAAUUAGUAGUAUUUAGCAGACCAUAGUUUCCUCCGAUCAGAGACUGUCUACAAUAAGUUUUUGUAUCAUAAACUGAUGCCAUACCAAGCUGGUCCAGGUACCUACCAUCGUGCAAUAUAAUAUCAUUUUUGAGUAAAAGUCAAGCUAAUAUGUUUAUCUUCUUCUUCUUCUGGUAUGAUGUCCUUUUCUUACCAGAAACUAUAAACGAAAGCAUUAGAGACAAGAUUACGACCGCUGUUGUAAGCGCCACCAGCCUCACCAACCCACGCCACAGCCUUUGUUGAGGAGUUGUUGAUUAUGUUCUUUAGGCUGCGGAACGUUGUUGCCUCUUGGUCCAGGUACGAAGGGUUUAGAAUCUUUUCUAUCAGAUGCUGGUCCACUCCUAAUCCAUCAUUAAUGUAAUUCUUUCUUUUUUUUUCAUUCAGAAGAUAAAAAAGGGAAAAUGGAGAAGCUAAGCUGCUUGAUGAUGUGAAGCCUUUACCUGGACCGAGGUCGUAGAUGUGACGAGUGGUGGCAUUGAGAGAGUUUUCAGUUUUGUUCAAGUAUUCUGUGAACCAAGCAGCGUCAAAGAAACCACCAGGUCCUAUCACCAGUGGCAUGGGACUCACAUCCUUAUAAACCCGGUUCACAAUGUCUCGAAGAGCUAUGGUGUCCGUAGCAUACUGACUUGCUGCAACUCUUGUACCAACACCACUUCCACACAGCUCAUUGCCUUUUGAGGAAAAUAAAAUAAAAAGAUUAGAAAAUGUUAAGAUAUUUGCAUAAUGUUAUGUCAGGUGACAUACCGAGCUCCCAACCAUCGACCGUGUGGUUGUUCUGUACUAUAUAUUGGAUGAAUGAUUCAGCAUUGGUGUAAUCCCAGGCUCCUACGGCUUCGCCAUUAGAUUGUAUGCUCCGACCAGAGAGUGCAUUCAGCCCGAAGAUGACUUUAGCUCUGAUUGAGACCACACAAGAAUGUAAGGGAGGAUGUAAACACAUAGUCGAAAGAAAGAUGAGAAUUUAAAGGUUACCCGGUUUUGCUAAAGAAGUCAUUAAGCUGGUUCCAUCGGCGCAUGGGCAGACAUCCUUGUGUGUAGCCAAAGAGAAGGGAAGUGUUUUGGGUGAAAGGAAGACAAGGCUGUUUCUGAUCUGGUGUCUCAUAUAUCACCAAGUCUUGUAAUGUUCCUCCUAUUCUUAUUUUCAAUGGAGCAAAUUCUGUAUAUUUUUUUUUUGAAAUUGAAAAAUGUCAAAUUUUGAACAUUAAGAUUUAGAAUUAUCAGAAAUAUGAUAUGGUUACAUACCUCUGAUUGCAUUCUGAAAAAUAGUGUUAUUCAGGUCCUGCAAGAAAGAUCAACAUAUAUCCAAGUUAAAGUACGCUUCAUUUUACUAAAAUGGCAUUGGAUUUGGAUCUUGGUACAUAAUGAUAUUUGACUUCACGUUCCAUAAAUGGUAAAAAGAGUAAUAAAUGGAGUUCUAUAAUAUCUACAAUGUUCUUUUCUAUUUUAUUAAUUCCACUUCUAAAAGAAACAAACAAACAAAAAAAAAUCGUCUCAAACAACAGAAAAGAGACCACAUCAAGAUCUUAGCUAAUAGUCGGCAGAUAUAUGAUUUCCAGAGAUAAAGCCAGAAGGUUAAUCACCCAACAUCCCAAAAACAUGAAAAAAAACUGCAAAUCCACCUCUUAAAGCUAUACUAGCUCAAAAAAGCUAUACUAGCUCAACAUACAAAGUGAACCUCUACUAAAAUAAAAUAAAAUAAAAAUAAACUUCUACUGUUUUAUUUCUUGGUAAAAGAUUUUCAACAGAAAGUAAAGAUUUUCAAGAAAAAGCCUGCUACACACCGACUUAUAAUACACGUGAAGUGUUUUUCUUUUUCUUUUUUCCUUUUAAAAAUACACAAGUUGCAUUGUUUUCGACGGAAACAAAACGGCAAAAAUGUAAAAGAGAGGAAGAAGAAAACCAGGUUAAGAAUCGAAGCAUGGUCCCAAGCACAAGUUCCGUAGUCACAUUUCUGAGGUGGCCACCAAUCUUUACGAGCAGUAAAUUAGUUAAUUACUGACAGCUCCAACUAUAAUUUGCCACGUAAUCUCCAAGUUUUCCCAUCUCCGACUAUAUUUCGGAAACUACCUGUUUGAAUCAGUCCAAGUCGACUGACUUUUGGUCGGGAAUCGCGUCUUUGUGUGAAGCUAAAUCUCUUUAGAAGAUUUGCUUUCAUAAUACUUGUCAAAUGGAUCUUAACUCAAGAAUGAAGUGCACAUUUUCACUAAUUAUCCAAUGUACUUGAGCUUGUUCUUGAUCAGAGGAUACGGCCGCCCCAUCGCCUAGUCUAUAUUUACCAAGUGAUUUUUAAAAAUUUGUUUAUGUGUCUUCUUUACAAAGAGUCUCACAAAAAUAAGAUGACAUGGCAUCUUUAAAAUUCCACAUGGCAUGUCAUUAGGCAAAUCAAAACUUUCAACUCUUAUUUCAAUCGUGGCUCACAUCUAUAUAAUAAAGUCUCACCGACAAAAAACAUAGCAUGUCACACAUAAAAAAUCUAUUCAACAAAGACUCAAUAAAUAAAAUUUGCCAAAGUGAUUCUUGCACUCUAUUCUAUGAAGUCAUCCAAAUACACAUGGCCAACUCAUGAAAAUGUAUUAUAAUUUUAUUAUGAUUUGACUAUAAUAUACAGAAAGUUCACGUUACAACACUUCGUCAAUAUCAGGUCAUCUUAUUUUUGCGUGAUAAUAUCACGUUUCAUCACUUCAUCAAUAUCUUUUAACCGAAUGAUCAUUUUAUGUUGUAAAGGAGUUAGGCACAUAGCAUAAUGAGACGUCUUCAAAACAUAAGGAACCAGCAGAAUUCUUGUGUGUUGAUAUAAGUGACUUUUACAUAUUUAUAUUUUUAUAGUCUAUUACUUCUAUUUCUUCAAAAUCUUAUUAUUAUGGUUUGAAAUAUGUUCCAGGGAUCCAAGUGGUAUGAAUAUAAUAGUAUUCAUAUGAGAAAAGAAAAUUAUGUCAAUCUCCUUGAUCAUCAAGAUAAAUCCAAGUUGUUGGAAUGGAUGGAGAAUAACAAGUUACAUGGGUCCAUACGUAAUUUUGUUUGGGAUCCAAAAUCUAAAACGUGGAAACCAAAAUUUUAAAUUUUCAGAUCAAUUUAUUCUUCAUUGUUUUUAUUGUUUUUCAGUUAUAUUUUAAUUUUUAUUGUAUUUUUUAAAUAUUCAGUUUUCAAUCAAUAAUAAAGUCAUUUUUAUAAUUAUUAUGUUCCAGGUUAAUUAUUAAUGACGUCAAAAACACACAGAUCUCCUCAUAAUACAUUAUAAAUGAAGUAGAUUACAUAUACAUUAUUUUCGUCAUUUGUGGUUUCUUCGUUGCACCACAUUAAAAAAUAUAUUAUAAGUUGUUUAUCAAUAAUGAACUACCAUUCAAACGUGUUUGAUUGAAAAUCAUAUAUUUUCAAUAUCAAUUUCCUUCCUUUAAUUGUUAAAUCAUUGAUUGAUAUGAACAUUAACUAUGAAUAGUAAUUGCAUUUUUGUGUGUGAAUUAAAUAAGAUGCGUGACACACAAUUCUAAAUAUGUUGUAACCAUAUAACACACAAGAAAAAAAAACACAUAUAGAAAGAACGUGUUCAUAUUUAAUUCACCAUACGUAUCGCAUUAAUGAUUACCAAUUAAUAAUGAAUUAACAACAUCACGUAACAUAUAUUCUUCACAUUUAAUUCUCAUGAUAAAUAGUAUGAAGAAUCAUUAAUCGUGAAUUAAUGCGACGCAUUAAUAUGGUAAAAAUUAAGGUAAUGCAAUAAUUGGUAAUCAUAUAUUAUCACGUGUAUGCAAGAUCAACGCUGUUAUAUAUAUAUCUUUUACAUUUUAUUGCUUACUACAUUUUAAAGUUGUUUAUUCUUAAAAGCUUAAUAUCAUGUCGGUUAUUACAAAAAACGAAGCAAAGGAUCUACGUAAGCUGUGGAAGGAAGAUGAUGAAGAAAAUAUUGAAGCUAUUAAAGAAGCACGUUUUUGGUCAUCAUGCCGGGAUCUACGUAAGCUGUUUUGUGUCAUAUUGCUUUCACAUAGUAUCACAAGUCCACAAAACGUAUAGAAUGCUACUUGGGAAAUACUAUCAAAAGAUAUAUUAUGCAACCAAAGAAAAAGUAGGGAUAAUCCAAGUAAGCUCACAUUUUUAACAAUAAAAAUAAUAAUUAUAUAUUAUGAUUGGAAUUUGAAUUCAAUGUUUUUGUUUUUUCAGAUUUGACUUUAUCAGAAGAUCAAAUUAAGAGUUUAAGCUUGGAGGAGAUUGAAUCAAUCAUGCGUAUGAACGGAAGCUCAUUGUCGUCGUUUAAGUUUUGAAACGUGUUAUCAAUAGUAUACUCUUCUAUUGGUAAAGCGGUGGCUUUUGAAAGAUUUUUUAUUAAUGGGAAUUUUUUGUUUUAUUAAUUCGGUUAUUGUCAUGAUAUAAAUCAAUAAUAAAGGGUUUUUCAUACUAUUUUUAACGAGCUUUCUAUUAUCGUGCAUAUAUUCAGUAGUUUAAUAAUGGUAUUUUCCCAAUGAUCUGUUAAAUAACUAAGUCUAUAAUCUUGAAAUAUAUUAGAAUAAUGAGAAAAGUAUUAAGAAGGAAUAUAUAAAGUUAAUUGGAAUAUAAAUCAAAAGUGAUUUAACCUAAUAUGCGUUAAAUAUUCUAAUAUAUAUUGAUCAAACAUGCGGAAAAGUGAAGUUCGUAGGUGACAUUAUUAUAUUUAGAUUGCAUGCCACGCCAAUAUAUUCCUAUAGUUAGGGAUCAUGACAGAUUACAUUCAUUAAGUCAUUAAUGUUCAUAUAAUAAAAGGAAAUAAAUUAAAAAUUAAGAAUAUCAUAUUAUUCUUACGUGAAUGACGUGAAACACAACUCAAUAAAUACUUCACCUUUGUUUUAAAAAAAAUAACGACUCUUAGUCACAUAAUUAUCUUACAAUAUUAAUACUCAUCUUAAUAAAUGCACUUCUCAAUAAACUCUUUCAUUAUAUGUGUCACGUAAGUAUUUUCUACAUUUGAUACUCAUAACAUUUACCUUGACGAAGAAGUCACUAUAUAUAUCUCAUUAAAUAUGAAAAUAAUAAAGGAAGGAAAUCAUUAUUGAGAAUAUAUUAUAUAUUGAAUAAAAGGAAUGAAAUUAUUAUUGAAUUAAUUAAAUGAACCACAUUAAUUGACUCAAACUCUAAUAUAUAUAUAUGACAUACGACAGGUUAGUGCAAGCAGAUUCUUGUACUUUGGAAGGCAAACAAAAACGCUGCUGGAAUUUCCCUUGAAAUGGUUUUGGUUGAUGAAGAGGUUAGUUCGUCAUCCAUACAAACAUAUAUAUAGUAUUGUGUUAAUUUUUACAUGUUACUUAAUUAUAAUAAAAACUUUGAAUAAAUGAUAAUUUCUGGCCGUAAAUCAGUUCUUAUUAUAAUAGUGUAUGUGUUUGUAGGGAACAAGGAUUCAUGCUCAAGUUGAAGAAGACAUGAGCAAGCCACACCAAAAAUUUCUGAAAGAAGGUCAAGCUGUGAUCAUCAAUGCUUUCCAGUUGAAAGAUUAUCUUGGGGAAUUUAGGACCAAUCCUUAUCCUUACAAGAUAGGAUUCUUCCGAACAACUAAGGUUAAACCUGCUGAUGGUUUUCCAGAAACUAUUCCUCAGAAAUAGUUUGCAAACUUUGACCAUAUAUUAUCGGGACAGCUUGAUAAAAACGUCUUGGUUGGUAAGUUUUGUCACUUUAAUUAUUAUCGAAAAUAAUUUUUAAUUUAAAUCCAGAAUAUAAUAUAAUUAUUUAAUAUUUGUAUAUUACAGAUGUGAUUGGUCAAAUUGUCAUUGUUGGACCAUUGGAGCAAAUUAAACAAAGGGGCAGAAUAAUACAAAACUUGAUAUUGUUCUACGUGAUGUCAUAUAAGUUUAUUUCCAAAUUUUACGUGCGUUGUACUCUACGGAGAAAAAACACUAACACAAUAAUUAUGUAGGAAUGUUCAUUUGACAUGUACUUUAUGGAGCAACUUUGCCAAAAAAAGUGAUGGUAUACACUGAAAAGAACAAUACUACGGUUGUUAUAUGUGUUGUUAAGUUUGCUUGCAUCAAGGAUUACAAAGGUAAGUUACGCUAUUAUGAAACUUGUAUAUGUCUUUUCAUUCUUAUUUAUAAUAAAUAUUAGAAAGUACAUUUUUUAAAGAUCCUAUUGAUUUUUACGCUAUUGAGAGGAGCUUACGUAAACCACGGAGACAGCUGACCAUUGCACUAGCGGUGAGGCAGACGAGCAAGGAGGAUGUCCCGUGGUGAUCUAUAUGAACAUAUAAACAAUAUAUCUGUGUCCACCAUUUCUGAUUCAACCCUAAAUACAAUUAUAAUUACUUAAAAAUCAUAAUAUUAUUUAUAUAAAACAUGUAUUUUAUUCAUUAUUAUAUAAGUCUACUAAAACCGCGCAUCAGCGGACGAAUCACCUAGUUCCCUGUAAGCUCAUUGGUUCCAUUGUUCAUUGGUUCCAAACAAUGAAAACUUUUGUCGGAAAUGGGCUGUAAGCCUGUAACUAGUGUAGAUACGUAUUUCUCCUUUAGUCAGAGACUAUUAUUACUCAAGGAACAAGUACGAGAAGAGAGAAUGAUCAAGGACAAAGGACAGAAGUAUACUUUAGCUAUCCACAUUCGUCAAAACGAUAGUGGCUAAAUGAGCAUUACGCGUCGUCGUUCAAACUGCAUCCACGAUUUAAGCCCACUGAGGGAAUGACCCAACCCAAUACAAGAAAAUGCCCAUAUAAGUUUAUCAAUGUCGAUGAUGCCUACUGCCUACAUAUCAUAAUGAUACCUUGCUAUUUUAAAUUUUUAUAAAUCACUCGAUGUCAUAUAAAACAUCUUUGCAUUUGAAUAUGAACACGUAAAUCUUAUGACUAAACGUAACUCUAAAUAUUGAUUAACAUUAACGUCAGAACUCAAGACCCCAAAAUCAUGUUUGCAAUUUCAUUCUUCUUUAAUCACACCUCUAGUUAAUUCUCUUCUGUUUGCCUACAUCUUUUCAUGAUUCAUGAUUGUUAAUCUAAUCUUUUAGGUACUACGAUAAGAAGUUGCACUAACUUGAUCUUACUAUUAUAUAUUUGUCCGUAUUAUCAAACUCUGCUUAUAAGUUCAUAAUUUUUGCUAUUAGUUCCUUCAGCUUUUGGAUCUUUAUAAUUCAAAUUAUUGGUUUCCCUUAAAACUGAAAAAAUAAUCAAAUCCACAAUAUGUAUGGUUUUCAAUUUGAUUAUUUAAUUUCUUAAUCGAGCAGAAAGUAUUCAAACCAAAAUCAACCUGUAAACUGGACGAGGCAUCUCUAAACUAUUCUAGUAACGUGGUACCAUUUCAAAGCAACCAAUUUUAUACGACUAUUCUUUCUCGACAUCUCGUCCCCUGUAUAUUAAUGGAGAAUCAUUGUAAUAAUAGACACGUAGCAGUCUCACAAUGAUUUGAUAAUAGGUAUGCUAACGCGUUCACACUAUAUUCAUAAAUGUGUUUACACUAUAUAUUUUGUAUUUAAAUAUAAAACCCACAUGCAAGGUUCCAAUAAAACUUUGAAUUUUUCGGUUCAAAUCAAAACAAAUAACGAAUAUAUAUAUAUAUAUAUAUUUUUUUUUUUUUUUGUUGGGCAAAAUAUUUAUAAAGUUUGAUUCGAUUUGUUAUCCGUUUUGAUUUGAACAAAAAAAAUAUGGAUAUCCGAACUCUACGAAGCAAAUCAAAUAUUAAAAAAAACAAAUAAAAAUACCAAUAUUUUUAGGAACGGAUAUCUAAUUUGAUCUGUUAUAUGCAUAUAUAUACAUAUAUGUACAUAAUUAUAUAUAUAUAUAUAUGUUAUAUAUAUUUUAGUUUAUAUUAGUUAUACAAUAUUUUUAUGAAUUAAAUUUAUUAUAUUAGGCAUUAAAAUUUAAAAAUUUAAAUAAUAUUUUAUUUUUGUAAGAAAAUGUUAUUGUUAACUUUUUGAAUUAUUUUUAUAAUUUUAUUUUAUUUACGGAUCAAAUCAGAUAUUAUUUAAAAUUCUAAAUCAUUUCGGAUAUCAGAGUCCCCGACUAUCCAGGUGGCUAAAGAUUGAAUCGAUAUAAAUGCUUCCAAAUACUCGGAUAUUCGAUAUGUGUCCAUCUCUAUUUACGGAUACAAUAUAUUAUUCUUUAUAUUAAAAAAACUCACUAAUGUCAAGGCCUUUUUAAUUUUUAAUUAAUUUUAAUUUUAUCUUUCAUGUAUUAUUUUGAACCAAAAUGUCAUUUAAUAUUAAUUAACAAUAUCUUUAUAUAUUUGUCAACUAUUUUUAUAUACUUUUACAUACACAUAUAUAUGCACUUUGAUGUGAGCAUCUUGUAACUAAGUAUUUACCAUAACUGAAGUAUCUAUUUUUUUUUUUAAGUUGAAAUAUUUUUUUUUUCUUAAUGGUUCUUUCACUACCGACCAAAUUGUAGUGAAAUAAUUUGUCUUAAUAAUUUUCUUUUUUUCUUGGACUAUUAUCCGUUUACAAACUAUGAUAUGAAACCAUUGGUUCGACAUAACAACUAUCUAAAAUUCAUAACAUGAAAAUAAAUAAAUAAUAGUAAUUUUUGGUUUUUACCGAAAAAAACAAAACAAAUCAAACAUUCUAACCGAAUAAACAAAAAUAAAUAUUAAUUUAAAAUAAUAGUUAUAUUUUAGGAGAUUAAAAACCAAAAAAUAACUUAAAACCGAACCGAUAUCCUGAUUAAACAGAUUUAAUGUGUUUUUAUUAAAUAUAACGAAACUAAUAAUCACAUUUCGCGCAAGGCGCAGGUUAUUACCUAGUAUAUAUUAAUUGAGAAUCAUUUAAAAAGUUGUAACCUUAAGUUUGUACUAAUUACAAAGAGAUCAUGCAUAGGUGUCACUAAAUUAGGAUGUCAAUUUAUCUUACGUGUCAGCUUAAGAAUCAAUUGGAAAAAAUGUUGGUCCAAAUUUAAUUAUUAGAAAACAUUAUAUUAACCCAAAAUAUAAGAAGCAUGUAUUCUUUCCUUAAAUAAAAGCUAUGAAAUUACCUAAUAUGAUUAACAUAUAUACGGUUAAUUAAUGACUAUGAAUAAUAAAGAUUUGAUAAUAAUUUUUGCAUCCUUCUUCUUUUUUAUUUAAUUUUAUAUUAUUAAAAAACAAUCAUAUUAACCAUAUAAUAAAAAAUAGAUUUUUUUCUUGUAUGUUAUAUUUUGAAUUUUUUAAAAUGACUUUAAAUUACAAAAUGAGGAAACCUUAUAUGUUAUAUUUUAAUUUUUUUAAAACGAUAUUAAAUUAAAAAAUAAGGAAAUCUUAUAUGUUAUAUUUUUCUUAUAUGUUCUACUUUAUUUUUUUUUAAAUGAUUUUAAAUUACAAAAAAUUAAAUUUUCCUUAAGCAUAUGACAAAAAGCAUUAAAAUGACAUGUAUCAAUUCGAUGGUUGAUUUAAAACCUUUCAAAACUAUAUGGAAGAUAAAAAUCAAAAUAAUUCAACUAUGAAAACAGUACUGUUCACUUUUUCCGAGAAUGUGUUCGGUGGAAAAAAAAGUUUUGUGUCAUAAUUUGCUUAAUGUCUAAUCCGAUAUAUUAAUUAGAGUUUAGUUCCAUAAUUUUUUAAUAAAAAUUGAUCCGGUCCAUCAGAAAAAAAUUAUAUAAUAACAACAAAAAACAUUGUAUAUAUAAAUAAAAUGGUCAUAUAUAUAUAUAUAUAAAUUGUUGAUAAUAUAUAUAAAUAAACUCACCAUGCGCAAGACGCAUGUCUUAUAUUAGUUUAGAAUAUAUUUGAUCAACUAUACGAUAUGUCAGACAAUACAACUACAAGUACAAUUAAUAACACUUAGAACACAACUAAUUUCUCAGUUUGCAUAGUAAACAACUUUUUUCUUCAAAAAAAAAAAAAUCUUACUGAUCAUAAUAUAUUAAUGUUUUAAAAACUUAGUACAUUAAAAAAAUUAGUCAAAAAACUUCGUUCGUAACUAUUUUUGUUUUGUAACACUAGUACAUAACUAUUUAUCUUCUUUUUUUCUUUGUAAAAAUACAUAACUAUUUAUCUUCUGAUAAAGAUUUCAUCUACUAAAAUAUAGCCAAUGAUCUAGAUUUCAAGAAUGACGGUGUUUCAUAAUAAGCUUACUAGUGUUUGAUUUUUUUAUGUUUAAAAUUAGCCUUGGACAUUCGGGGUCCCAAUCUGGUUUCUGUUUUAUCCAAUUGGGUCUUGGUUUUUCGGUUUUAUCAAAAUCAGCCUCAUUCGGAUUAUAUGAAAGUUUGGUUCGGGUUAUAUCGGGUUCGGGUUGGAGUUAGUAAACAUUCAAAGAACUGGUACAACCCAAUGUAUUUUCGGGCUUGGAUCCCAAUUGGUUCUUCAGUUUAAAAGUAUCUGAUUUCUACCUACUUUGUAGCCAAAAUAUAAGUAAAAUCGGUUCUUCGAUUUUAAAGUAUCUGAUUUGUACCUAUUUUGUAACCAAAACGCAAGUAAAAUUGAUUUAAAAAUAAGAAAAGAACAUCAAACGUGAUCAUUUAAAAUCAAAUGAAAGGUAAACAUAGUUAUUGAUAGAUAGAGAACCAAAUAAAUGAAAGCAUAAAACGAAAUCCAAAUUCUCAUGAAAUGAGAAACAUUAUUCAAUGAAAACAAAACCAAAAUCUAAAAAUUUCAAGCUUCAACUGACAUCUUCAAUUAUCAACCUUCAUGUAAUAGAUAAUUAUUUUAGAUGUUCAAUAAUAUUUUAUUGUAUUUUGGAUAUAUAUUAGGAAUUGAGAUCAUAUUUGGUACAAGUUAUUUUUUGGGAUUCUGAAUAUUUCGGGUUCUAUCGAAUAUUCAUUUAGGUUUGGGUUCGGUUCGGAUAAUACCCACAAGCCAAAAUACCAUAAAACAAGAUCCAUUAGAUAUUUAUAUGGGGUUCAGAUCGGUUCGGAUUCAUUUUUAUCGGAUCAGAUUCGGUUUAUUUGUCCAGCCCUAUUUAAAAUCCAUUGUUAGCCGGAUAAAUUAAGAGAAAUAGAACUCUAAAUAAACAUAAAAUCAUAACUAUCAAAGACAUGUAUCCUUCUCGAGCAUAUGAUAGUUGAAUCCUAUUAUUAUCACAUUUAAAUUACUAACCUGUAAUUGUUCUUGGACUUAAAAGUUAUCUUUAUAAUAUAUAUUUUCACGAUAAAUAGUCUAAAGAUUCUUUUAACUAAAGCAAUAUUAUCAGAAAAUAUAUAAAUUGACUAUUUUUCUAUAUUUUCUGAUAAUAUUGCUUUAGUUAAAAAAAAUAUAAAUUGACAACCGGGCCUCGUGGUCUGGUGGUAUAGGAACCUCGGCUGAGGUGCCCGCCAUCACGACUUCGAGCCCCGGCCACAGCGGAUUUAACAUUCCUUCCGUUGGGGCGCUGGACCCUCUACGGGGGGAUAGUUGGGAAUGUGGCUGCUCAGAUACCAGAGUUACCAAAAAAAAAUAUAUAUAUAUAUAUAAAUUGACUAUGUGUUACAAAAAAUAUAUAUAUAUAAAUUGACUAUUACAAGACUUAACGUUUUGAUUCUUACAACUGUUACGAAUAUGAAAUUAUUAAUCUGAAAGAUGAUAAUUACAGAUGUUAAAUGUAAUAAAAUUGAGGAUAAAUUUCAAUUACAAAGAUGAUAGAGUUUAUCUCAUGAGGAGUAAAGAGUUAAAAAGAAUAAGACAGAACAAAGAGAGGCUCCUCGUAUUUAAUAAACCCAUCUUUCUCACACGACCUUUCACCUCUAAAGACUCCCAACAUAAAAUAAAACUUGCAAGGUAAAAUAUAAACGUAAACUUUGCCAAGUUUUCUUCUCUAACUCACACUCCCACGAAACCUUAAAACGUUUUUCCUCCACAACUCAGGAAAAAAAAAAAUACACUAAACGUUUUUUGUUUGUGUUUGGUCUUCUGACUACAAGGUUUUUUUUUCUCACAGACAUUCUCCAUGAAAGACAAAGCCUUUGUUCCCGCGGUUUUAUUGCUCUGUUUUUGGGUUCUGCUGAGUUCAGGUUCGUCGAGACUGUUGCAGAGUGAUGAUAAAGGUAACGAGUUGAAGAAUUACAUAAGCUGGGAAGACCUGAGAGUUGUGGAAGAAGUUGGAAGAGAGAGGAGGAGCUCCAGCGUUAAGGUGAAGGAUAAUAAUUUGGUAAACCAAGAAAGUAAUAUGGCGACUGUAAACGCGAGCAGGGUGAUCGUGGUUGAUAAGAGAGGAAGAGGAGACUCUGUUACAGUUCAAGGAGCUGUUGAUAUGGUUCCCAAUUCCAAUUCUCAGAGAGUUAAAAUCUUAAUUCUUCCCGGCGUUUACAGGUAAAAUCAAACAAUCUGAUUCAAAGCAGAAACCGUGUUUUGAUUAAAAAUUAGAAACGUUUUUUAAAAAAUAUAUAUAAAUAAAAGCAGUUGAAGCUAAGUUCUUGGGUUAGUGGGGGUUAUCUUACACAUCAGCUACGUGGGGUAGUUUUUGUAAUACAAUCUCUCUCUUUUUGUUGGGCAAAAUAUUUAUAAAGUUUGAUUCGAUUUGUUAUCCGUUUUGAUUUGAACAAAAAAAAUAUGGAUAUCCGAACUCUACGAAGCAAAUCAAAUAUUAAAAAAAACAAAUAAAAAUACCAAUAUUUUUAGGAACGGAUAUCUAAUUUGAUCUGUUAUAUGCAUAUAUAUACAUAUAUGUACAUAAUUAUAUAUAUAUAUAUAUGUUAUAUAUAUUUUAGUUUAUAUUAGUUAUACAAUAUUUUUAUGAAUUAAAUUUAUUAUAUUAGGCAUUAAAAUUUAAAAAUUUAAAUAAUAUUUUAUUUUUGUAAGAAAAUGUUAUUGUUAACUUUUUGAAUUAUUUUUAUAAUUUUAUUUUAUUUACGGAUCAAAUCAGAUAUUAUUUAAAAUUCUAAAUCAUUUCGGAUAUCAGAGUCCCCGACUAUCCAGGUGGCUAAAGAUUGAAUCGAUAUAAAUGCUUCCAAAUACUCGGAUAUUCGAUAUGUGUCCAUCUCUAUUUACGGAUACAAUAUAUUAUUCUUUAUAUUAAAAAAACUCACUAAUGUCAAGGCCUUUUUAAUUUUUAAUUAAUUUUAAUUUUAUCUUUCAUGUAUUAUUUUGAACCAAAAUGUCAUUUAAUAUUAAUUAACAAUAUCUUUAUAUAUUUGUCAACUAUUUUUAUAUACUUUUACAUACACAUAUAUAUGCACUUUGAUGUGAGCAUCUUGUAACUAAGUAUUUACCAUAACUGAAGUAUCUAUUUUUUUUUUUAAGUUGAAAUAUUUUUUUUUUCUUAAUGGUUCUUUCACUACCGACCAAAUUGUAGUGAAAUAAUUUGUCUUAAUAAUUUUCUUUUUUUCUUGGACUAUUAUCCGUUUACAAACUAUGAUAUGAAACCAUUGGUUCGACAUAACAACUAUCUAAAAUUCAUAACAUGAAAAUAAAUAAAUAAUAGUAAUUUUUGGUUUUUACCGAAAAAAACAAAACAAAUCAAACAUUCUAACCGAAUAAACAAAAAUAAAUAUUAAUUUAAAAUAAUAGUUAUAUUUUAGGAGAUUAAAAACCAAAAAAUAACUUAAAACCGAACCGAUAUCCUGAUUAAACAGAUUUAAUGUGUUUUUAUUAAAUAUAACGAAACUAAUAAUCACAUUUCGCGCAAGGCGCAGGUUAUUACCUAGUAUAUAUUAAUUGAGAAUCAUUUAAAAAGUUGUAACCUUAAGUUUGUACUAAUUACAAAGAGAUCAUGCAUAGGUGUCACUAAAUUAGGAUGUCAAUUUAUCUUACGUGUCAGCUUAAGAAUCAAUUGGAAAAAAUGUUGGUCCAAAUUUAAUUAUUAGAAAACAUUAUAUUAACCCAAAAUAUAAGAAGCAUGUAUUCUUUCCUUAAAUAAAAGCUAUGAAAUUACCUAAUAUGAUUAACAUAUAUACGGUUAAUUAAUGACUAUGAAUAAUAAAGAUUUGAUAAUAAUUUUUGCAUCCUUCUUCUUUUUUAUUUAAUUUUAUAUUAUUAAAAAACAAUCAUAUUAACCAUAUAAUAAAAAAUAGAUUUUUUUCUUGUAUGUUAUAUUUUGAAUUUUUUAAAAUGACUUUAAAUUACAAAAUGAGGAAACCUUAUAUGUUAUAUUUUAAUUUUUUUAAAACGAUAUUAAAUUAAAAAAUAAGGAAAUCUUAUAUGUUAUAUUUUUCUUAUAUGUUCUACUUUAUUUUUUUUUAAAUGAUUUUAAAUUACAAAAAAUUAAAUUUUCCUUAAGCAUAUGACAAAAAGCAUUAAAAUGACAUGUAUCAAUUCGAUGGUUGAUUUAAAACCUUUCAAAACUAUAUGGAAGAUAAAAAUCAAAAUAAUUCAACUAUGAAAACAGUACUGUUCACUUUUUCCGAGAAUGUGUUCGGUGGAAAAAAAAGUUUUGUGUCAUAAUUUGCUUAAUGUCUAAUCCGAUAUAUUAAUUAGAGUUUAGUUCCAUAAUUUUUUAAUAAAAAUUGAUCCGGUCCAUCAGAAAAAAAUUAUAUAAUAACAACAAAAAACAUUGUAUAUAUAAAUAAAAUGGUCAUAUAUAUAUAUAUAUAAAUUGUUGAUAAUAUAUAUAAAUAAACUCACCAUGCGCAAGACGCAUGUCUUAUAUUAGUUUAGAAUAUAUUUGAUCAACUAUACGAUAUGUCAGACAAUACAACUACAAGUACAAUUAAUAACACUUAGAACACAACUAAUUUCUCAGUUUGCAUAGUAAACAACUUUUUUCUUCAAAAAAAAAAAAAUCUUACUGAUCAUAAUAUAUUAAUGUUUUAAAAACUUAGUACAUUAAAAAAAUUAGUCAAAAAACUUCGUUCGUAACUAUUUUUGUUUUGUAACACUAGUACAUAACUAUUUAUCUUCUUUUUUUCUUUGUAAAAAUACAUAACUAUUUAUCUUCUGAUAAAGAUUUCAUCUACUAAAAUAUAGCCAAUGAUCUAGAUUUCAAGAAUGACGGUGUUUCAUAAUAAGCUUACUAGUGUUUGAUUUUUUUAUGUUUAAAAUUAGCCUUGGACAUUCGGGGUCCCAAUCUGGUUUCUGUUUUAUCCAAUUGGGUCUUGGUUUUUCGGUUUUAUCAAAAUCAGCCUCAUUCGGAUUAUAUGAAAGUUUGGUUCGGGUUAUAUCGGGUUCGGGUUGGAGUUAGUAAACAUUCAAAGAACUGGUACAACCCAAUGUAUUUUCGGGCUUGGAUCCCAAUUGGUUCUUCAGUUUAAAAGUAUCUGAUUUCUACCUACUUUGUAGCCAAAAUAUAAGUAAAAUCGGUUCUUCGAUUUUAAAGUAUCUGAUUUGUACCUAUUUUGUAACCAAAACGCAAGUAAAAUUGAUUUAAAAAUAAGAAAAGAACAUCAAACGUGAUCAUUUAAAAUCAAAUGAAAGGUAAACAUAGUUAUUGAUAGAUAGAGAACCAAAUAAAUGAAAGCAUAAAACGAAAUCCAAAUUCUCAUGAAAUGAGAAACAUUAUUCAAUGAAAACAAAACCAAAAUCUAAAAAUUUCAAGCUUCAACUGACAUCUUCAAUUAUCAACCUUCAUGUAAUAGAUAAUUAUUUUAGAUGUUCAAUAAUAUUUUAUUGUAUUUUGGAUAUAUAUUAGGAAUUGAGAUCAUAUUUGGUACAAGUUAUUUUUUGGGAUUCUGAAUAUUUCGGGUUCUAUCGAAUAUUCAUUUAGGUUUGGGUUCGGUUCGGAUAAUACCCACAAGCCAAAAUACCAUAAAACAAGAUCCAUUAGAUAUUUAUAUGGGGUUCAGAUCGGUUCGGAUUCAUUUUUAUCGGAUCAGAUUCGGUUUAUUUGUCCAGCCCUAUUUAAAAUCCAUUGUUAGCCGGAUAAAUUAAGAGAAAUAGAACUCUAAAUAAACAUAAAAUCAUAACUAUCAAAGACAUGUAUCCUUCUCGAGCAUAUGAUAGUUGAAUCCUAUUAUUAUCACAUUUAAAUUACUAACCUGUAAUUGUUCUUGGACUUAAAAGUUAUCUUUAUAAUAUAUAUUUUCACGAUAAAUAGUCUAAAGAUUCUUUUAACUAAAGCAAUAUUAUCAGAAAAUAUAUAAAUUGACUAUUUUUCUAUAUUUUCUGAUAAUAUUGCUUUAGUUAAAAAAAAUAUAAAUUGACAACCGGGCCUCGUGGUCUGGUGGUAUAGGAACCUCGGCUGAGGUGCCCGCCAUCACGACUUCGAGCCCCGGCCACAGCGGAUUUAACAUUCCUUCCGUUGGGGCGCUGGACCCUCUACGGGGGGAUAGUUGGGAAUGUGGCUGCUCAGAUACCAGAGUUACCAAAAAAAAAUAUAUAUAUAUAUAUAAAUUGACUAUGUGUUACAAAAAAUAUAUAUAUAUAAAUUGACUAUUACAAGACUUAACGUUUUGAUUCUUACAACUGUUACGAAUAUGAAAUUAUUAAUCUGAAAGAUGAUAAUUACAGAUGUUAAAUGUAAUAAAAUUGAGGAUAAAUUUCAAUUACAAAGAUGAUAGAGUUUAUCUCAUGAGGAGUAAAGAGUUAAAAAGAAUAAGACAGAACAAAGAGAGGCUCCUCGUAUUUAAUAAACCCAUCUUUCUCACACGACCUUUCACCUCUAAAGACUCCCAACAUAAAAUAAAACUUGCAAGGUAAAAUAUAAACGUAAACUUUGCCAAGUUUUCUUCUCUAACUCACACUCCCACGAAACCUUAAAACGUUUUUCCUCCACAACUCAGGAAAAAAAAAAUACACUAACGUUUUUUGUUUGUGUUUGGUCUUCUGACUACAAGGUUUUUUUUUCUCACAGACAUUCUCCAUGAAAGACAAAGCCUUUGUUCCCGCGGUUUUAUUGCUCUGUUUUUGGGUUCUGCUGAGUUCAGGUUCGUCGAGACUGUUGCAGAGUGAUGAUAAAGGUAACGAGUUGAAGAAUUACAUAAGCUGGGAAGACCUGAGAGUUGUGGAAGAAGUUGGAAGAGAGAGGAGGAGCUCCAGCGUUAAGGUGAAGGAUAAUAAUUUGGUAAACCAAGAAAGUAAUAUGGCGACUGUAAACGCGAGCAGGGUGAUCGUGGUUGAUAAGAGAGGAAGAGGAGACUCUGUUACAGUUCAAGGAGCUGUUGAUAUGGUUCCCAAUUCCAAUUCUCAGAGAGUUAAAAUCUUAAUUCUUCCCGGCGUUUACAGGUAAAAUCAAACAAUCUGAUUCAAAGCAGAAACCGUGUUUUGAUUAAAAAUUAGAAACGUUUUUUAAAAAAUAUAUAUAAAUAAAAGCAGUUGAAGCUAAGUUCUUGGGUUAGUGGGGGUUAUCUUCCACAUCAGCUACGUGGGGUAGUUUUUGUAAUACAAUCUCUCUCUCUACAUCUUUUCCGAAAUUCUCGGUUUUUAUAAUUAUUACAGAAUCUCUGUCCGUGUAAUACUCCAUCUCUUGGUCGUUGCAGGGAGAAGGUGAUAGUGCCGAGGACAAAACCGUACAUAUCGUUCAUAGGCAAUGAGAGUUACGCGGAAUACACAGUCAUUACUUGGAGCGAUAAGUCCUCAGACCCUUAUAGCAAUGGUACUGAACUCGGCACUUACAGAACCGCCACUGUUGCAAUCGACUCUGAUUUCUUCUGUGCCACUGCCAUCACUUUCGAGGUCCUAAAACAAAUCUCUCUCUCGAGUUCUUCUUUUUCUACAUGCAUUUUGAAUUUAUAUUUUUCAAGGUUAUAUGGAUAAUGAGCUGCAGAACACGGUGGUGGCAGAGGCGGGAGAAGAAGGGAAGCAAGCGGCAGCGCUAAGGGUAACAGGGGACAAAGCAAUGUUCUAUAAAGUCAGGGUUUUAGGAUCACAAGACACUCUUAAUGAUGCAACUGGUUCUCACUACUUUUUCCAAUGUCACAUCCAAGGAAGUGUCGAUUUCAUCUUCGGCAACGCCAAGUCGCUUUACCAGGUAUAAUAAAACAUCAUAUCAAUUCAUCUUUUGUGUAUAUAGAUAGAAGAAAAAAAUGUAGAAUUUUAUCUGAGGAAAACAUCACAGGACUGUGAUAUCCGCUCAACCGCAAGGAGAUUUGGUGCGAUCGCAGCUCACCAUAGAAGUGAAGAGAGUGAUGAUACUGGUUUCUCCUUUGUGAACUGUGACAUCGGAGGAACCGGGAAGGUUUACCUGGGAAGAGCUUGGGGAAACUACUCGACAACUGUUUAUUCAAACUGUUACAUUGCUGAUAUCAUCACUCCUGUGGGCUGGAGUGACUGGGACGACACUGACAGGCAAAGGUAACUGAAGACUCUCAGCUACCAAACUAAAACCUGCUCUGUCUGAAAAACCAACAAAAAGACUGAUUUCUUUUUUUCUUUGUUUGUGCAGUAAGGUGCUGUUCGGGGAGUAUAACUGCAGGGGAAGAGGAGCAGAGAGAAGAGGUCGAGUGCCGUGGUCAAGGAGUCUUACCCAAGAUGAAGUGAAGCCUUUUCUAGGGAGAGAGUUCAUAUUUGGAGAUCAAUGGUUGAGACUCUAAAACACUUACUGACAAAGGCUACUGUUUGGCUAACAUGAGAUGAUGACCUAAUCAUACUUUUAAUAUACAUUGUGUAAUUAGUACUACAACUGAGCGCAGAGAGAAACAGAAUCUGCGUGCUUUUAAAACUAUUAUUAAAAGAUUUGAUUUUGGUUUUUAAGAUAAGAGAUUUCUUACAAGCUGGUUUAUAAUAACCAAAGUCACCAAAUAAUCCUCUAUUCUAAGAUCAGAUGAAAACAAAUGCACAACCCCACCAAAAUCAUGCCUCCUCAAUUUUUCUAUACAACCUUUCACCUACUCGUCUCUCCUCAGCACCAACCAAGUCAAACCCAUUCUUCUGCAAACUAUGUCGAUAUAUAUACAUACACUAAAGUUACCAGAGACGUGGCACGUACCAGAAUUACCAUCAUUACAUAUUAUAUAUAACCUCAAGAAAGCAUCUUUCUUUACGAUGUCACCAGCGUGGUAGUAGUUUUUGACAGUGUGAAGACUGUUUCUGAUUUGCGAGCCUUCUCAUCAUUACCGUUAACAUCAUCUUCGUUGUGGUCCUGACAUUGGUUACUUCCAAUCUCUUUAUCCUCUUCUUUCGAAAGUAUGCUUUCGUCAUCAUUCUUAACAACCCCGUCAUCUUUAUGCUCUUUGUUCUGUCCUCCUCAAAGAGAAAUGUCCUCGCCUUUAGGUUUUGCAUCCUCGACAAUAUCUGGCAUUGCAAUGGGCUUUGCGUUGGCAUCUUUGGCAAGAGUGGAAGACACGGAAAGCUUGGCUUCCAGGCUAAUAUCAGAAGGUACAAGAGAGAGUAUUUCCGGUUUAGGAUCGAUGUCAACCCAGCAGUCUCCCACCCAGUCUCUAGAAAUCCUAAUAUCCUUCCUCUGCACUGUUAAGCAUAAGUUCUCACCUAACAUCAUGACAACCAAAACACAUGUCAGCCCUAAGAGAAAGAUGCAGAUAGUGCAGGCAACUAGUGAGUGAGAGAUGACAAUAGGAAAACAUUGACUAAAUCAUACCAGGGAUAUAUAUUUGCAAGUCCGGUUUGUCACUGGCAAUGACAACACCUUCCCACCAACCAUCAUUCCACCAUGCAUCAACAGCUUCACCAAUUGUAGGAUCAAAGUCUGCUGGUUUAGCAUCAGGAGGAGCAGGCCGGAUUGUUGGGCGGUUGGACGACCUCAUACCAAGCUUAUCAGGCAUAGCAGAUUUCAAAGCCGGCACCCAUUCCUACUCAUAACAUAAGAAAGAAAAAUACAUAAGGCGAUAAACAAAAGAGUGUAUCAAAAACAAAAAUUUUAAUAGGAAAUGGCUGUGGAAGCGCAUAUAUACCUCAAGGUUUCCGUAUCCAUCCUCGUCCUCUAUAUCAUCAUACUGGAGCUUAACCUGUUUCCUUGAUACUUCCAGGACAGUGCACCUAAACCAGCAGCCUCUUAUACCGCUAUCUUGACACAGAAACUCUAUUUUUGCAUCAGCCUUGAUAACUCCAUUAGAACAAGAAUGUUUAUGAGCAACCGAGGAAGGGAAUCUUCUUCCCGAGGCAUCAAGUUUGAGUCUUUUACAUGAAGAUUCAUAUGCUGUGAACAGAUGGUCAGACAUCAUUCCUCUAUGUUUUUUCUUGCUACGCUCAGCGUCAACCAUUACAUUCUCACCCUCGCUCCACGGUUCAUCUUCCUCUUUAUUCAUCCCACAGUCUACAGGACCAGACUCCAUCGAACUUAAGCAAGACAUUAUCGGUUGAUCUAAAUAUCCACGCAAUUUACUCAAGUCAAAAGGUUUGAUUCUGUAGUUCCUGAGUUGCCGAUAGCACAUGUGCACCCUUUCCAAUAGAGAAUUAGGAAAAGAAGCUAUACACUCCUCAUAAUGCUCACGGGUCAAGACAGUGGCGGGACCGUCGACACAUUCAGCACUGAUGACCUGUGAGUGAGGGGUGAUGAAAACCUCUUUUGGAUGUGGGUUUUUGAGAGAAACUGCACCCUUCACCUCUUUUGUGCAGUGAAACCACCUGACUCUGACUUUUUUUAGGCCACGCUUGUCCUCAUACAUAUCUUCGAGAUACGCAACGUACCGGUCGUCCCCUUUGCUCAUGACAAAUACAAAAGAGUGCACCUGAAAAUCCAAAAGAAGAAAUACACCUUCAAGUGAGUGCAGAGUUCCAUCCAUGCUCAAAAACUUAACAGAUCCGCACACAAUGACAAAUCAACAUAUAGCGAACUGUGCAUUCAUGAGUACUUUCAGGAAAUGGAUAUACUCAAAAGUUCUCCGAUGCGAAGUUUUCAACUUACCCCUAUAGUUGUCCCAUUCCUACAGAAUGAUGGGUAAUGUUUGAGCUGUUUGCCACACAUCCAGGAAGCUCCUGACCACAUAAUAUCCCAAAUGUGAACCCUCAAGUUUAUUGGAAGCCGGGCCUGUGAGAGAGAUUCUUCCAUCAGUAUUACAGGAGAAAACAAAAAUGCAGUGACUAUUGUCUAAAGCAGUAAGUAGCUAAACACCACCUCUUCUGUUGCUUGAGCACGCUGAGCAGCAAACCCAUUGCUUGAAAAUUCGGGAGACCCAUUAGAUUCCCCCGAAUCACAUUUUGGUGACUCUGUCAUUGACAGUAAACAAAUUCUAUAAAUAACCGGUUACAAAGUUAGAAGAGACUCCCUCAUAGAGAAAGAAGCCCUUCAUUCCCCACUCAACAGACAAAAUUAAAAGAAAUAAUACGCACUCGACCAGUUUCCUUGUGUAUUUUGUUUAGACAGCAUUGAGGUGAGCCAGUCCACCACCUCUCUCCUGGACCUCCAUUUGAAGCCAGGAUGGAUCGAAUUCUCGGAACCAUAGAUGUGCACAAAAUCCUCAGAGGCAACAUAGAACAUGUGCCUAACACUUCUCUCAGUCCCAACCACAGCUAAGAUGGAUUCACCAGCAGAAUCCUUGAGGAAGUAAUGAACAACACGGUUCCCUCUCUCCUGUGAGACAAAAUGCUCUUUCCACUCCACAAAAUGAUGAUCAUUCUCGCACAUUUUUUUUCCAAAUUCAGAUAAAGAACUAACUACUGAAUGUUAAAAGGUGUUGACGCCAGUUCAUAGCCAUGAUAGUAAAGCUUACCCCAACAAUAACCCUAAACCUCCUAUGCCCUAAAUCAACAUCCUUUCCUUAAGAGAUAGCUCAGCUUGGGGGGGAAAUCAAAUAACCCGGACGAAGAAGAAGUUGGGAUUAGAGAAAGCGGAGAAGAACCCAGUGAGAGGAGAGUCGCGAAGAUCUGCGGAGCGACCAGAGACGAAGCCGUGGAGACAGUGAUCCAAGCUCGAGAGCGCCGCAAAACACCAAGAUACGACUUUGACUGCGGUAAUCAGCUGAAGCAUGACGAAUACGAAAUGGGCAUCUCACAGGAGAAAAACAAAGGAAGAUGAUUAAGGGUUUAGUUCGUCGUGGAACAAACGUGUAAUAGACAGCUCAGAAAAGCGGCGACAACACAAAAACGGCGAUCGAUUUCGCGGAAGAAGGGUGAAGAGGAAGAAACUGAGUUGUGAUUAAGGUGAAGCUUAAGAAAAUAGGGUAUUCGUAUUCCCAUGGAUAUGGAUGAUCUCUCUCUCUCUCUCUCUCUCUCAAACUUGCAGGGGUUUGGCAAAAGCAGCUGCUCGUUGAGGAAAGGGGACAUACUUGGCCUUUAAUGGGCUUACAGUUUAUGAUAUUAUGGGCCUUUAAUGGGUCAAACCGUAAAUAAAACGAGAGAAUGUCAAAAGAGAAGAAGAAGUCAACAGAACUACUCUUUUCUUUCUAAUCUCUCGUCUUUUUGGCUGCCCGAGAAACACGGAAGUGUUAUAAGAUAAACUUUGAAAUGAUACUCCACCCUUUUACCAACUCAAGCACUACCAACUCAAGCACUAUGAUCAUCUACUCAUCAAGCACUAUGAUCACCCACUCAUUUACCAAAUCAAGCACCAUCUUUGAUAUUUUAUGCAUUGUUGUUCACUAUAAAUACCAUCACUCAUCUCACUCUUUUGUACACCAAAAAACAAGAACAAGAGUUUAUAAGAAAAGAACCAUUACAUCUUCUUCUUCUUACUUAUAAUAAACUCUCUCACUCAUAGUAGUGUUAUUUGCUUCCUACGGGUAUUAAAUUCUACUCUUAUUUAAAUUUCUCGAUACUAUAAAUUAUAAGUUAUUUCAUAACACGUUAUCAGCACGAUCACUCUGCGAUUCGGUAAAAUUUAUUUGUAUCAUUUAUACCCUGUUAUAAUGGUCGGUAUACCGCCUCUACUAUUAUUUAUAUCAUGUUAUAAUGGCCGGAAUACCGCCUAUAUUAUUUACUAGUAAUUUAAUUUAUUUAUUGGUCGGCCGAGCCGCCUUAUAUUCUGUUUAUUAUUAAUUGGUCGGCCGAGCCGCCGUAUAAUUUAUUUAUUAUUCUGCAUUGAUCGGCUGAGCCGUCGCAUGAUUUGUUGUCAUAUAACAUAAAUAUUUCAUUGUCAUAAUUUUUCACUUUUAUGAAAUUUUAUAGAUUUGAUUGACCGUUUAAUACGAUAUUUUCAGACUAAUUUUUGGUGCACUCGAUUUAACCCCAACGGUCACAAAGAAAAUUUUUCAAAAAUUUCCCCUUUCUCCAACGGUCAUGAACAGUAAUUUUCAUCUAUAAAUACAACUCAUUUUCACUCCAUUUCAUCAUCCAAAACAUUUCAUCUUCUCUCAAAAAUUUCAAAUCGCUCUCCUCCGAUUUUUCAUUUCAAGAAAGAUGAUUCGCGCACUUUUGUUUUUAUGUGCCAUUUUUAUUUGUGUUUCUAUUUAUGGUUUAUUCGUUGGAGAAUUUACUCCGAGUGAAUUUAAGAUGAAUAUCGGUUUAAUUUUAUUUACAUCGCUUCUCCUUGUAAUUGCUUGUAUGAUUAAUGUAAACGGUUUUUAAAUUAUGAAGUUCUAAUAAAAUUACUAUUUUGUGUUUUAGAAAUACAAAUGGCAAACAUCGAGAAACUCCAGUUCCCGGCUCUGAAAGUAACCGGCGAAAACUAUGUCAGAUGGGUCACAAAUGUGAAACCUUAUCUUGUAAUAAAAAAGAUAUCCGAAGCUAUAAAAGUCGGUAACAAAUCGCCACCCGAGCAUAUAGCCGAAGCGAUAAUCUUCCUGAAGAAGCACUUAGAUGAGAAUCUAACUCACGACUAUGGAGACGUUGAGGACCCAGCCGUACUAUGGCAAGCCUUGAAAGACAGAUUCGAUAAUCAAAAGGAAAUCAAUCUCCCUCACGCUCUUGAAGAGUGGAAAACCCUGAGGUUUCAGGAUUUCCAAAGGGUUAGAGAUUACAAUUCCACUAUCUUGAGGAUAGUUGCACAAUUAAAAUAUUGUGGUAACCCUGUCACCGAAGCAGAAAUGCUUGACAAGACAUACAAUACUUUCCACAAAGAACACAACGUCUUAUCCCGAAUUUACAGAAAAUGUGGGUACACCAAAUUUUCUGAAUUGAUGGUAACACUCAUGUUGGCUGAAAAGAACGAUGAGUUACUAAUCAAAAACCAUAAUUCCCGACCUACGGGAGCCAAGGCAUUUCCCGAAGUGAAUGCUACGGCGGUAGAAUAUUCGGGAAGGAGAAACCAUACCAACCGAGGUCGUGGUCGGCGUUUCAACAACAAACGUGGAAAGCCUUACUAUCCUAAAAGUAUUAGAUCUAACAAAUGGGUUAGAUCUGAACAACCUCAUAAAGGCAAAGAAACCGAAGAGGAUACCACAAAGAAAAGUGAGACUGUAUGUUACAGAUGUGGAUGUAAAGGACAUUGGUCCCGUACCUGUCGUACUCCCCCACAUUUGUGCAAGUUAUAUCAAGAAUCCAUAAAAGGAAAGGCUAAAGAGGUGAACCUCACGGAAAACGUUGAAGGGACCUCAUACCUUGAAUCCUCUGAUUUCGCAAAUGAGCUGGACUAGAAUACUCUUGAAGAGUACGGAAAUGUUUCUAAUAAGACUGCUGAAUAGUCCUCAUUUGUAAUGUAUAAUAAUUAUGUUUUCAAAGAAUAAUGUUGUUUUAACAACAAUAUAUGUAUAAUUAUUGUGUGUUUUCUUUAUAUAAUCAAUGAAUAAAUUUCACGUUUCACUUUUAUUUAAUGUUUAUGAUAAUUUCAGAAAUGGAUCAAAAUACUAAUGGAGCAAAAUCCAAGAAACGGAUUCGUGAAAUAUGCAUACCAGAUAGUGGAACAACGCACACUAUUCUGAGACAAAAGAGAUAUUUCUCUGAUAUAAAACCGACAAGAAUUGUCGUCAAUACAAUAUCAGGUCCUGCAGACGUGAUUGAAGGAACUGGUAAAGCAAACUUUACUUUACCGAAUGGAACAAAAUUUUCCAUAAAUAAUGCUCUAUAUUCUCCAAGUUCUAAAAGGAAUUUGUUGAGUUUUAAAGACAUAUAUCUUCACGGAUAUGAUACUCAGUCUGCAACUGAGGAUGGAAAGAAAUACAUGUAUGUAACUUCUGAGAAAUGUGGCAGAAAACACAUAUUGGAAAAGUUUCCAGAGCUUCCUUCGGGGUUACAUCAUACUUAUAUCGAUGAGAUCGAAUCAAAUCUUGUAGUAGAACGGAACCCAGAAGAGUUCACGUUAUGGCAUGAUCGCCUUGGCCACCCAGGCACUACAAUGAUGCGUAAAAUCAUAGAAAGUUCACAUGGUCAUCCACUGAAAAUCCAGGAGAUUUCUCAAGGGAAUAAAAUGACAUGUGUUGCAUGUUCUCUAGGAAAAUUGAUCGUAAGGCCAUCGCCAACCAAAAUCGAUAAAGAAUCACCAAAGUUCCUUGAAAGAAUUCAAGGUGAUAUAUGUGGACCGAUACAUCCACCAUGUGGACCAUUCCACUAUUUUAUGGUAUUAAUUGACGCAUCCAGUAGAUGGUCACACGUUUGUCUAUUAUCAUCUCGAAAUGUGGCAUUUGCGAGAUUUCUAACUCAGAUAAUCAAACUGCGAGCACAGUUUCCUGAUUAUACUAUUAAAAGAGUUAGACUAGACAACGCUGGUGAAUUCACAUCCCAAGCAUUCAAUGACUAUUGUAUGGUAAUGGGAAUUGAAGUUGAACAUUCGGUUGCUCAUGUUCAUACGCAAAAUGGUUUGGCUGAAUCUUUAAUUAAGCGUCUGCAAUUGAUUGCAAGACCAUUGAUCAUGAGAUCAAAACUUCCAACCUCUGUAUGGGGACAUGCCAUUUUGCAUGCAGAAGCACUCAUUCGGAUCAGACCGAGUGCAUACCAUAAGUAUUCCCCACUACAGUUAGCGUUUGGUCGAGAACCAAACAUUUCCCACUUUAGAAUCUUUGGUUGUGCGGUAUAUGUGCCUGUAGCACCACCACAACGAACAAAGAUGGGACCACAAAGAAGGUUGGGAAUAUAUGUUGGUUGUGAUUCUCCAUCAAUUAUAAGAUACCUAGAACCACAGACUGGUGACGUCUUUACAGCACGUUUUGCUGAUUGUCAUUUUGACGAAAAUGUAUUCCCAGUUCUAGGGGGAGAAAACAAAAAUGUUGGAAGUGAUAUAAAAUGGAGUGUACCAUCAUUGUUAUAUCUUGAUCCUCCUACUAAAGAGUCAGAACUAGAAGUUCGACGAAUUAUGCAUUUACAGAGUAUAGCUAACCAGCUACCUGAUGCAUUUGCAGAUACCAAGACGGUAACUAAAUCUCAUAUACCAGCUGCAAAUGCUCCUGCUCGUAUCAAAAUGCCAAAUGAACAAGAAAAGGAGGAUGACACACGAGAGCCAAAAACACGCCUGAAGCGUGGUAGACCUGCUGGUUCUAAGGAUAAGAAUCCUAGGAAACAGAAGAAAGCUGAAAUAUAUGAUGCACCCAAAAUAGCAGAAAAUAUUUUGGAAGAAAUAAAUGAUAAGGACUCUGAUGAAUCAGAGCAUCAUGAAUCGAAAGAUAAUCAUGAGAUUUCUAUUAAUUACAUCCAUAAUAAAAGGAUAUGGAAUAGAAAUGAACAAAAUGACCUUGAUGAUGCUUUCUCAUAUAUCGUGUCAAGUGAGGUAAAUGAAGAUACCGAUGAUCCAGAACCGAAAUCCAUAUAUGAAUGUCAAAAGAGACAUGAUUGGAAUAAAUGGAAAGAAGCAAUACAAAUCGAACUUGAUUCGCUUAACAAACGAAAAGUGUUUGGAUCUAUUGUACUCACACCUGAAGAUGUGAGACCAGUUGGGUACAGAUGGAUUUUCGUUCGAAAACGAAAUGAGAAAAAUGAGAUUACAAGGUAUAAAGCUCGCCUUGUAGCCCAAGGAUUUUCUCAAAGACCUGGUAUUGAUUAUGAGGAAACAUAUUCUCCUGUAAUGGAUGCGAUCACAUUUAGAUUCCUGAUGAGUCUAGCCGCUGAUAAAAAUCUUGAGAUGCGUCUCAUGGAUGUUGUUACAGCUUAUCUAUACGGAUCAUUAGAUACUGAUAUCUACAUGAAAAUCCCUGAUGGAUUUAAAAUGCCAGAAGCAUUAAGUUCCAAACCUAAAGAGUUAUGUGCAAUAAAAUUGCAAAGAUCAUUAUAUGGGUUAAAACAAUCUGGACGUAUGUGGUACAAUCGUCUCAGUGAACAUUUAACAAAAGAAGGAUAUGUGAAUGAUCCUAUAUGCCCAUGUGUUUUCAUCAAGAAAACAACAUCCGGAUUUGUGAUAAUCGCGGUAUAUGUUGAUGAUCUAAAUAUUAUUGGAACUCAAAAAGAAAUACAAAAGGCAUCAGACUAUCUCAAAGGAGAAUUUGAGAUGAAAGAUCUUGGACAGACACAGUAUUGUCUUGGCCUACAAAUAGAACAUUCACAAAAUGGUAUAUUUGUGCAUCAAUCCACAUACACUAAAAGAGUGUUGAAACGAUUUAACAUGGAUAAAUCAACUCCUCUUAGCACCCCGAUGGUCGUUAGAUCACUUAACAUUGAAAGUGAUCCAUUUCGACCACCUGAGGAAAAAGAAGAGAUACUUGGUCCGGAAGUACCAUAUCUAAGUGCAAUUGGAGCGUUGAUGUACCUUGCAAAUUGUACACGGCCUGAUAUAUCAUUCGCUGUUAAUCUUCUAGCAAGAUUUAGCUCAUCUCCAACACGAAGACAUUGGAAUGGAAUUAAACAUGUCUUUCGUUACCUACAAGGGACUAUUGAUUUAGGCUUAUUUUACCCUAAGGAUUCAAAUGGUCAAAUGGUUGGUUUUGCAGAUGCAGGAUAUCUUUCAGAUCCACACAAAGCCCGAUCGCAAACAGGAUAUGUUUUUACUAUCGGAGGCACUGCUAUAUCUUGGCGUUCUCAGAAACAAACGCUUGUGGCUACCUCUUCAAAUCAUGCUGAGAUCAUCGCACUCCAUGAAGCAAGUAAAGAAUGUGUAUGGCUAAGAUCUAUAAGCCAACACAUUUGUUCAAGUAGUGGGAUUGACAAAAGUACGGGGCCAACUAUUCUAUAUGAAGAUAACGCGGCAUGUGUUGCUCAAACGAAGGAAGGAUAUAUCAAAAGCGAUAGAACCAAACAUAUACCUCCGAAGUUCUUCUCAUAUACUCAAGAGCUCGAGAAGAAUAAAGAGAUUGAAGUAAGAUAUGUUCGAUCAUGCGACAAUGCAGCCGACCUCUUCACAAAAUCACUCUCUACUUCGGUAUUCAGAAAACAUGUCCAUAACAUUGGAAUGCGUCAUCAGAAGGAUCUAUGAUUGCUCAAUCGAGGGGGAGCUUACGUAGUUGUACUCUUUUUACCUAACUAUGGUUUUUCCCAUUGGGUUUUCCUAGAAAGGUUUUUAACGAGGCAACAAAGACGUUGAGCGAGAGCGGAGAGUGACACCGGUUCCCAAGGGGAGUGUUACGAAACUUAAUUUAAUACAAGAUGGAUGAUCAAGGGGGAGUGUUAUAAGAUAAACUUUGAAAUGAUCCUCCACCCCUUUACCAACUCAAGCACUAUGAUCAUCUACUCAUCAAGCACUAUGAUCACCCACUCAUUUACCAAAUCAAGCACCAUCUUUGAUAUUUUAUGCAUUGUUGUUCACUAUAAAUACCAUCACUCAUCUCACUCUUUUGUACACCAAAAACAAGAACAAGAGUUUAUAAUAAAAGAACCAUUACAUCUUCUUCUUCUUACUUAUAAUAAACUCUCUCACUCAUAGUAGUGUUAUUUGCUUCCUACGGGUAUUAAAUUCUACUCUUAUUUAAAUUUCUCGAUACUAUAAAUUAUAAGUUAUUUCAUAACAAGAAGUUGUUUGUUUAUAAACGUUUUUUAUUUUCUCGAGAAUAUUAUUCUUUUAAUGGAUUAGAAAAUCAAUCUACAACUACAACUAAGCAGGCGUAGAAUCACUCUUUCGUCUUCUUCUUCAUCAUCAUCUGCUUCUUAUUUUUUUUCUGAUUGACCUUGGGGAGAUUCGCUUAACCUUGUAAUAAUGGCGGGAAUAGCUAUAGUUUUAGAUCUACUCAAUAAAUCUCAUAACAAACACGCUUUCCACUCAUCGUCUUCUCUGUCUUCCGCCGCCGCCGUAUCUGCUUUCGCCAGUGCUCCCUUCGCGUCUAGGUUUCUCUUCGGGUAUGUAUUGUGUCUUGAUUGAUGCUCUGUUUCGAUUUGUAUGGACUCUCACACGUUUUUGACUGGAUCGUCGUGAUGGAUAGGAUUGAUAACUAGAAUCUCUUCUGAGAUUAGGGUUAAUCUAAAGCCUAGAUUUUUUUUUUUGGUUUUGAUCGAGCUGAAACAGCACUCUAAAUCCAACGUUACAUCCACAACUGGUAAUAAUCAUGUUUUGCAAUCUAGUAAGAUGUUUGUAAUCUCUUAUAUGUUUCUCUUGUGUUCAUUGUCUUGUUGUACGUUCCAGUUUCAACCUAUCAAUGAUUCAAUAUUCUUCAUGUGAUACAGUUCCUUUGAGCCUCGAGUUGCGUAUUGUGACGCGGCAGCUGCAAUAGACGAUGAUUACCUUGCUGCUAUACGAAAGAUGUCUGCGGAUACUUUGCAGCUUCAGACGCCUACAUACAUUCCUACUAGCUCUAAGGUUUACAAUAUCCAGCCAAAACCACUCUUCUCCGCCUUCGAGUUCAGGGCACUUGCGAUGACCACAGUGAGAUCCCUCCUCAUGUUUUAUCUGCCUCUUUUGGAGCCUAAACCGGCUUCAGAGGACGAUGAUGAUUUCCUUAACAAUGCCGCGGAAGAACUCCGUGGCGCAGACUUGAUUGUUCCUCUUAAAAAGUCUGUCAAGCAGAUUGCCCGUGAGGUUAGUAUUUGUUUGUAUCAAAGGGUGCUUCCUGGUGUCAUGAUUUUAACUGAUGUUUUCGGGUAUAUAUGAUCCACAGACCACUGUUGUGACUACUCGGAGAGUCCUUGAAAGGCUGGCUAUCAGUUAUGUCUCACAGCGUAUGGCAUGGAAGCUUCUAAAGGGUAACGUCAUCUUCUAUUACUUUGCUUUCCCCCAACAACAAACUUGUUAUUAUAAUCCAAAAUGUGUAACAUAUUAUCUCGGUGGGUGAACUGAUCAUACUGAUAAAUAAAUAUAUGUAUAUCUGCAGAUGUGCCACAAUCUACUUUACGCAAGGCUGGGAGAGGGUGGCCCACACAUGUAUACAUCUAUAAAGUCAGCCAGACAACUCUUAGAGGUAUCAUAACAGAUACUGUGGAUCUAUCAAAAGCUUGUACUGUCUUAAGAUCAGUUAUUGUUUAGUUAUUACCAUAACUUUCUUAAACGUGUACAUAUAUAUAUGUUUGGUCAUUGGAUUUGUUUUACGCAGGACACUUCCUCGGAAUUGCAGCAUCAUGGACAGUUCAAGUAGGAAUAGAAAUCUACAGAUGUGUUAACCGUUAUGUUAAACCCAAACCCGAAGAAGUAGACGAGGAACAAGUGGAGAUAGCAGAGCAAGCCAAGGAUCUUGGAAACAAAGUCGUGGGUAUCACAGUAAGAUGUGGUGCUUCUUUAGUAUUCGCUGCCAUUGGAGCUGGUAUCUGGUCUUGCCUCAUGCGUCCCUCCACUGGACAAUGGAUCGGUAAGCUCCCGACACUGAUAAAUCUGGUUUAAUGUCUCUUUUUUGGUUUUUGGAACAAUGAUUGAUGUGUAUGGUUUUUAUAUAUAAUGUAGGCUGCGCGUUGGGGGACUUGGCUGGUCCGAUGGUUGUUUCGAUUUGCUUGCAGAAGACUCUUCAAGCUGAUGGUUAACUUUAUAUGGGGAGAUUGAAUUCUUCAGCUUUUUCCAUCCAAAAUGAAAUCAGAAUGUUGUUUUUUCUGAAUUUUUUCUUAUGGUUUUUACUGAAACCUUGGAAGCGUUUUCAUCAAGACACUCGAAUGAUUCACAAAUUGUACCUACUUUUGAGAACAUCUGAAUAAGGCAGGUGUUUAUUUUUCUCUGGAUUUAAUGUUAAAUUCGUAUAUUUCUUCUUUCCACUCUUGUAAGUAUAAGAUUUAACAUGUUAUUUUCUUACCCAAACCGACUAUCUUUGGACGAAUCAUCUCGUACUCUUGAAAUUCUCUCACAAAUUGGAAACAAACAAAGAGGCAUGCUCAUGCGCUGAAUUGGUAAUGUGACUGGCGAAGUAAUUUCACUAAAAUAUUAACUACACAAUUAUUUUAUGAGAAAAAGACAAAAAUAGCACUAAAUCAAGUUUAUGUUCUCAAACUAGCACUCAAGGUCAAAAGGCACAAAAAUAACACUUAGUGUUUUAUCAAAAGUCACAAACUCAGGGUUUAGAGUUAAAGGGUGAGGUUUAGGGUUUAGGGUUUAGAGUUUAGGGUUUAGGGUUUAGGAUUUAGAGUUUAGGGUUUAGGGUUUAGAGUUGAGAAAUGAGGUUUUGGGGAUAAGAUUUCAAAUUUUGAAAAAUAAAAAAAUUAAAAUUUUCAAAGAAUAAACUUAGAAAUGUGCUAUUUUGGUCAUUUUAGUUUUUGAGUGCU
rnacentral:lncRNA from 1 species